rnacentral:lncRNA from 1 species
CAAGGAAAACCCAUUGGGACAAAACCUUGCAAGGGAAAAAGAGUAGAGCUCUCCAAAGCCUAGGGAUUGGCCAGUGAGCUCUUGUGCCUUAGAACCAAUAUGGUUGGACACAAGAAGCUCUGGAUCACGGCCUAAUAGAUGCAGCAACUCUUCACAGCUUUGCGCACACUUCACAUUUCAGCUUCACCUCUUCAUGGAACCGGUUUGAAGUCUCCCCCUCUCAACUGACUUCACAGCCAUCUUAGAGAAGCUAGGACACGACCAGAUCAUCUUCAAAACACCAGUGAGGCUGAUCAAUACUUCACACACGGCUUGCCCUCUUCAUAGAACUGGUUUGGAUCUCCCCCUCUCAACAGACUUCUCAGCCAUCUUAGAGAAGCUAGGAACUGACCAGGAACAUCUUUAGUGAGGCUCAAGCAAUGGUACCUGAUACAUUAUCCCAAAGGUGCAUCAGUACCUAUCAAAAAACAAGAAAAUGAAUAUCCUGCAUCACAUUUGAUGCAAACAAUCUCACAAUUCAAAAUGAAUAUCCUGCAUCACACUCGAUGCACACAAUCUCACAAUUCAAUCAUAAUCAUCUUAAGUAUCUUUUCAAGCACAAGUAAUGAAUAAGAUGAAUGAAAAAGAUUGAAAAGAGUUUUAAAAGUCUAAGGGAACUUCCCUUGUGUUUUUGUGAGUUUCCAAACUCGGCCAAUGCAUCAUCUUCAUGGCAUCAUCAACUUCUUGGAAAGGCAGAAUGGAUUCAUCAGCUUCUCCUCAAUCACCUCUCAUUGAAGCCGCAUUGAUGGAGAGCCUUCCUCCUCACUCGCCAAGGCUGCUCUGAACAGCCUCUUGCCUAGACACGCCACUGACUUGGUCCGGUUGAUGAUCCUUGUAGAAGCUUUUGCAAAAGACUUGUUACUGACCAUGGAUCAUAUGCAUUAAGACUCCCCCUCAAGCUUAGAACCGAGACUAGAAGGAGCUAAGCUUGUGAUGAUCCUAUGCAUCUCCAUGGUCUAAUAAUUAUCAUCUUUCAUGAUAGCUUUCUUCUUGUGAGUUUACUCUCUUCCUUAACCAGGAACUAGGGUGUUUGAAUCACCAUAGAGAGUCUCACAAGACACACCUCUCAUUGCAUAAUGACCCAUGCUACACUUCCUGUAGACUAAGGAUUAGAUAUGUCCAAUGGUAUUAUGCAAUGGCCAUCUCUCAUUGCAUACUCAAUCACACUACACUUCCUGUAGAUUAUGGACUAACAUGUCCUAGUGAUGAUAUGCAAUGGCACAAGACCUUUGUCUUUAUAUUCUUGGUUGUUGGUGAGUUACAUGUAUCCCAUUCCUUGUGUACCUAACACCACCACAACUCAAUGCAAGAUCAGAUCAUCCCAUUGGGAUCAAACCAAGAUUAUCUAUCCUGUUUGAUCACCAAUGCCACAAUAAUAUAUAAUACUUGAAACAAGCUAGACAAUCAUGCAAAGACAAUCAAUUCAGUUUUGUUUUUUUUUUUUUUUUUUAAAUGCAACAAUAGAUGACAGCAUUAGGUUACACACAAACUAUAUGAAUGAAACAGAUUCAAUCUAAAUGGAACACAAGUCUAGAUGAUACUUAUGCAAUCAAGGCAACAAGAGUGACUCAAUUCAUGCUUAUGCUCACUAGUUUUAUCAAAGCCAAUGAUUCAAAUAGCUUAGACAUACUUCUAAGUGCUUAUAAGACAUCACUGAUGGAUUUAACUAUGGCAUAGCAACAAUCAGAACUGGACUGAGUCAAGACAAGUAGAUUUCAAUCUCUAAUAAUGACAAUGCAAGUUCUAUUUUUAAGUUCUCUAAAUGCAAUGCAAGCUUAUCAGUACAUUUGAUAUUUAGGCUCAUUUUUAAAUGCAUUACUAUAUGAAUGCACAAUCUUAAAGCUUUAGCUAUGUGAAUGCAACAGGUUCAAUCCAUGAGCAAUAUUACGGCUAUGCACAACAGUUUCAAUCAAAACCAAUGAUGCAAACAACUUAGACAAUUUCUAAUUGAUGCAAGACUUUCAUUGAUGGAUUAAACAUAGACAAUAGCAUCAGAUAACAAUAGGAUUGAACUUAGACAGUAUGAGAUAUGCUUAUGUAUAUGACAUUUAGGAAUGUAAAAGAUUAUCUGAGUUUAGAAAGGAUUAAAGAAGGAGAAUAAGAGAUUAAGAGACAACUUAGAGACUAAUGGAGAAUCAUAGUGAAAUGAGUAAAGAGAAGGAUUGUUUAGAACUGUCUAAUCUUUAUUAAGGGAUGAGAUUACAUAUAUAUAGGUCCAUACACUUAGGGUUUUCGAAAUCAUAAAGCUAAGUAAGCAUGUAGAGUCAAAGAGGAGCCUAAGCUUUAAUUUGAACCGGCCAAUGAGUGUCUUCACACGUUUGGAGCAUCUUCUUGAUCCAAGACUAGAUGCUCUUCCUUUCCAGCUCUUGCCAGCCUGUCCUAGCUGUCAAGCCGCGUCUCCCUUAUCCUCUCAACGUUCGGAUAAGGUCUUGGCCGAGUGUAACUUAAGCUCAGUACAUGGGAGUAACUUGGAUAGUUACUUUGACCCCUUUUACCUUGUACGGAUGAUCACUUGUACGGCCUUGUACGGAUGAUCAACCCAUUCCUCCUCUUCACCUCUUUGCUCUCUUUAUGUUCUCAACUCCUUUGUGCCUUUACCUCAAAUGCCUCAACUCAUCUCAACACUCCCCCUCAAGCUUAGCUUUGUGAAAGCCUAAGCUUGGAUAGCUAUGAGAUCUUCCUCAUUAAAAACCUUACCAAGGAAAACCCAUUGGGAUAAAACCUUGAUAAGGGAAAAAGAGUAAAGACCUCACAGCCAAGGGGAUCAGCUCCUUCUCUUCCCAAGAUCAAUGAGGCCCAACCUGAUGUGAAUGGACUCCAUUGUCUUUUGUCUUGCAGCUUUGGUGAACACAUCAGCUAACUGAUCUUCACUUCUUGUGUAGCAUGGCAGGAUGACUCCUAAGAUGAUCAUCUGCCUCACCUUGUGACAAUCAACUUCAAUGUGCUUGGUUCUUUCAUGAAACACCGAGUUGGAGGCAAUGUGGAUGGCAGCUUGGUUAUCACAAUGCAUGGUCAUUGGAGUGGCUUGAUCAAUCUCCAAAUGCUUCAAGAUGCCUUUGAUCCACACCAGCUCGUUGGUAAGCUUCAGCAUAGCUCUAUACUCAGCUUCUGCACUUGAACAAGACACCACCUUCUGUUUCUUACUCUUCCAAGUAACCAAGUUGCCUCCAAUGAAUGUGCAAUAGCCUGUGGUUGAUCUCCUGUCUGCUCUAUCACCAGCCCAAUCCGCAUCACAGUAUCCAACCACUUCAGUGCUCCCAUUGCAGCCCAUCCAUACUCCUUGAUCAGGUGAGCCGUUGAGAUACAUCAAGAUCCUCUCCACCAUGCGCCAAUGAUGCUCCUUAGGCACUUGCAUGUGUUGACUCACCUGAUUCACAGCAAAACAAAUGUCAGGUCUAGUUAUGGUAAGAUAAAUCAAUUUGCCAACUAGUUUUCUAUAGAGUUUAGGAUCCUGAUAAGGUUUGCUGUCUUCAAUCUCCCCCUCUCGUGGGACUUUGUAACCAUCCUCCAUAGGCAUCCUUGCUGUCUUGCCUCCAUAAGCACCUGCACCUUUCAAAAGAUCAAGUGUAUAUUUCCUUUGGGACAUGAAUAAACCUUCCUUGGAUCUACAUAUCUCAAUUCCAAGAAAGUAUUUCAUUUCUCCCAAGUCUUUAAUCUCAAACAUGGAUUUAAGAAACUCCUUGGUUGCUAUGAUACCUUCCUUAUCACUUCCUGUGAUAAUGAUAUCAUCAACAUACACAAGGAGUGCAAUCAUACCUGAGGGAGUAGUGAGAGUGAAGAGGGUGUGAUCUAGUUCAGACUUCUUGAAGCCUCGGCCAUUGAGAGUAGUGCUCAGCUUGUUGUACCAAGCUCUUGGUGAUUGCUUCAGCCCAUAGAUAGCUUUCUUCAAUCUUAACACGUUCCCUCUCUUCACUAAGUGUUCCAGGCCUGGAGGUGGAUGCAUAUACACUUCAUCCUCAAGUUCUCCUUGUAGGAAUGCAUUCUUCACAUCCAUUUGCCAUAAGCCCCAUCCAAGGUUCACAGCCAAGCUCAAUACAAUCCGGAUUGUAUGUAGUUUAGCUACUGGUGCAAAGGUUUCUAUGUAAUCUUCUCCAUAAGUUUGAGUGAAACCUCUUGCAACCAGCCUUGACUUCUUCCUCUCAAUCUUUCCAUCUGCCUUAUACUUGAUUGUGAAUAUCCACCUACUAGUCACAGCCUUCUUCCCUUUUGGUAACUCACUCUCAUACCAUGUAUCAUUCUUGAUCAUAGCUCCUGCCUCAGCUCCAACUGACUCCUUCCAUUCUUUAUCCAUGAUUGCUUCUUCAUAGCUUCUUGGGAUGUAAGUCUCAUCCAAGUUAACCAUGAAGGCGCAAUGUUCUUCAGGGUAUUGAGCAAAUGAACACACGACUUGAGAAGGAUGCUCCACAGCUUGGGCAUUGUAGUACACUCGCGUGUUUACCCAAGAGGAAGGAUCCUUUCUCAGCCUUGUGCUUCUCCUCAAUACUGGUUGUUCUUGCUCUUGAACCGGCUCAUCUUGUGUAGUCGGUUCUUGUGCUUCACUCUGAUGUUCUUCCUCUCCUUGGUCUUGCUCACCUUGAUGAUGAGAACCUGAGUUGAACUCUCCUCCUUCCUCACUCAAGCCGACUCCUUCUUGGCCAUUUUCUUGAGUUUCAGGUUCACUUCCCCCCUCAUGAUCAAGGUGAGGUGUUUGAGCAGCUCCUCUUGGUGCAGUUGAGCUCUCUUCUUGUCUUCCACUUCUUGUGGAUUGGUCCUGGUUCAUCUUGAUACCGAGACCUUCCAAAAUGAUUCUUAAGACUCCAGCCUUAUCUGAUGUGAGAUCCUUCAAAUCUUCUUGAUUCUUCUCCUCAUAGUAUCCUCUUUCUUCAAUGAACUUCACAUCUCUAGAUACAAGCACCCUUCUAGCUUCUGGAUCAUAACACUUAUAUCCUUUUUGAGUUGUUGAGUAGCCAAUGAACAUUGCCUUUCUGCUUCUUGCUUCUAGCUUGUUCCUCAAUUCUCCUGGUACUAGAACAUAGCAUAAGCAUCCAAACACUCUCAUGUAUUCCAAGGAUGGCUUGCGCUUGUUCAGAACUUCAAAUGGUGCUUGAUCCUUCAACACCUUUGUAGGCAUCCUGUUGAUUAGAUAGCACGCAGUAGAUACAGCAUCACUCCAGAAUCUCUUAGGUACAUUAGCUUGGAACAUCAGUGACCGAGCCACUUCCAUCAAGUGCCUGUUCUUCCUCUCAGCUACACCAUUCUGUUGUGGUGUGUAGGGACAGCUUGUUUGAUGAAGGAUUCCAUGGUGAUCUAGAUGACUCUUGAACGCAUAGCUUGUGUACUCUCCUCCAUUAUCUGAUCUCAAAAUUUUAAUCCUAGCAUGGUAAUGGUUAGUCACAUAAGCUUGAAAGUUCUUGAAUGCAUCUAUCACCCUAUCUUUUGAUGGAAUGAGUGUUAACCAGGUGUAUUUAGAUUUUUCAUCAAUGAAUGUGACAAAAUACUUAUGAUUAUCUCUAGAAAAACUAGGUGCAGUCCACACAUCAGUAUGAAUCAAAUCAAAGCAGUUUUCAUAGACAGUAGAUGUUCUUGGAAACACAUUCUUACAAUGCUUGCCUAAAAUGCAAGCCUCACACUUAUUAUUUUCAAAAACCACACCUGGUAACAUCAAGUUUAAAGCCCUCUCAUGGGGAUGACCUAAUCUAGCAUGCCACAAUGCAUUUUUAUUUAAACUAGAAGCAGAAGUAAAUGAGCAGUUAUAAUUGGAAACAGGAUCAAGCUUCUCAAGCAUGUAUAAGUCUCCCUUUGUAACUCCUUUUACAAUCAAUUGGCUGCUCUCAAUAUCCUGAAACUUCACAUCAUUAGGACUGAAUAUAACAUUGCAAUUCAAAUCAGUAGUGCAUUUCUUAACUGAAAGAAGGUUUGAUGUGAAUUCCGGAAUAUAAAAAGCUCUAGUGUUCUUAUCAAAAAGUUUUAAGUUGCCUAUUCCCUUAAUAGGUAUCUUAUCUCCAUUUGCAAUCAUCACACAUCCAUUAGUAGGUUCUAUAUCUUUAAUCAGGUUGGUGUCACUAAUCAUAUGAUGAGAUGCACCUGAAUCUAUAAUCAAUGGUUUGGAUGUAUUGCUAGCACUAUGGCAGAUAAUUUGUGAUCUAUAUGCAUUCAUCCUAGCAUUUCUAUCAAUGCAAUGCUCAAUUCCAGUCUUACUAUCAAUCCUAGCAAUCUCAGCCACAUUAGGAUUCAUUUCUAUAGUUCUAGCAAUCAUAGAAGCACCAAAUGAAUACCCAUGAAUGUUACCAUUAUCCUUGAGCAUUUUGAUGAGUGCAUCCAUCUCGGAUCUCCUGAUGAAGUCUUGAUCAUUGCCUCGGGGGUUGAUAGCUCCAGUGUAGGUCACCAAAGCUUUUCCAUCUCCUUCACGAUUCUCCCCUUCAGCUCCACGGUUGGAUGGCCCUGCUCCGCUUGAUCCUUCAGUCAUGUGAGCUUUUGCCUCUCUCUCCUUCAUGAACUUAGCCGGCUUCAAGUGGGGAUGGAGUAUCCAGCACUGACUCUUCUUGUGUCCAUGCUUCUUGCAGUGAUCACAAUUCCCAUUGAACUUCCUAUCCUCAUACUUGUUGUAACCAGCUUUGUUGGCUUGUGGAGGCUCUUCCCGGUCAGGUUGCACAGCAUUUGCAAGAGAUAAGUCUCCCUUGCCUCCAAACAAACCCAUUGAGCCCUGCUCCUUCUGUAUCUUAGCGCACACCUCUUCAAGGUCAGGCAGCUUCUCAGACCAUAGCAUGUGCUGGAUAAGACCACUGUAGCUUGCAUUCAACGUGAGCAGCAACCCAAAGACCUUGUCCUGCUCGCGUCUCUCAUUUAGAAGCUCUGGAUCAACCGUGCUUGGCCUCAGCAUCUCCAACUCAGACCAAAGAGACCUGAACCUCCCCAAGUGCUUAGUGAACUCCGUGUCAUCUUGAGUUAACCCAUUGAUUGCCUUCUUGACUUCAAACACUCGGUUCAGGUUAGAAGUGUUUCCAUACACUUUCUGUAGAGUAUCCCACAGCUCCUUGGCUGUCUCACAGUAGCUAUAAGCAUCUAGUAUAGCCGGCUCCAAAGAGGCAUGAAGGACUGACAUCACCAUCAUGUCUUCUUGUUGCCACUUCUCUACAACACUCUCCUCGGGACUCUCCGUUUCAUCCCCUUGAGUAAUCACCUUUGGAGCCUCACCAGAUGUGAUAUGCUUCCACAAACCCUUGCUUCCCACAGCAGUCUUCACCAUCCUAGACCAGACUAGGUAGUUGGUUCCUUGAAUGUCACCGCGACCUUCAUCUUCAUGCCACUCUCCAUCUUGAACAGCUUGACGUCUCUAGCUUGAACAACCGGUUAGAUCUUGUACUGAGAACCCACGCUGCUCUCUAGAACACAGAUUCACUCUUGAGUCUUCAAAUGAACCUCCACGGACCACCAAGACACACACAAACACCUUGAGCUUUUGAACUCUCAAGAAACUCUCAAACACACUCACUUGUUCUCUUAAAGUUUCAAACUUGAAUCCUUAAGAGAAACACUCACGAACUCAGAUUGUAAUCAACCUGGCUCUGAUACCAUAUGACUUUAGGAAUGUAAAGAUUAUCUGAGUUUAGAAAGGAUUAAAGAAGGAGAAUAAGAGAUUAAGAGACAACUUAGAGACUAAUGGAGAAUCAUAGUGAAAUGAGUAAAGAGAAGGAUUGUUUAGAACUGUCUAAUCUUUAUUAAGGGAUGAGAUUACAUAUAUAUAGGUCCAUACACUUAGGGUUUUCGAAAUCAUAAAGCUAAGUAAGCAUGUAGAGUCAAAGAGGAGCCUAAGCUUUAAUUUGAACCGGCCAAUGAGUGUCUUCACACGUUUGGAGCAUCUUCUUGAUCCAAGACUAGAUGCUCUUCCUUUCCAGCUCUUGCCAGCCUGUCCUAGCUGUCAAGCCGCGUCUCCCUUAUCCUCUCAACGUUCGGAUAAGGUCUUGGCCGAGUGUAACUUAAGCUCAGUACAUGGGAGUAACUUGGAUAGUUACUUUGACCCCUUUUACCUUGUACGGAUGAUCACUUGUACGGCCUUGUACGGAUGAUCAACCCAUUCCUCCUCUUCACCUCUUUGCUCUCUUUAUGUUCUCAACUCCUUUGUGCCUUUACCUCAAAUGCCUCAACUCAUCUCAACAAUGUAUGCAAAAUAACUUAUCAAUCAUGAUGCAAGCAGCAGAGACAUUCUACUCAAUUCUACAACACAUUCAUGAUGAUUCAAGCUAUGACAACCCUCAAGACAAUGCAAUAAACAGAACAUGAGAUUCUGGGACUCUAGACAUUACUUACUCUCAAUAUGACAAUGCAACAGCAAAACAAUUUCAGUGCAAUUAGCCUAGACAUUCUACUAGAAGCUAUAAACUCUUAAUGGAAUUAGGGAAAGCACAUAGUAUAAUCAGGAGAUAAACCUAUUAAGACAUAUUAAGAUAGAUGAGAUUAGGUUUACUCCCUUGGUUAAGAUGAUGAGGAGUGGUUCUCAAAGUUACCACUUGAAUUCUUACUUCUUCUUCUUCUCUUAUUGCAAUCACCCUUCUGAAUUCACCACCAUGAUGGAAUGCUUGUGGAUGCUUCAGCUACUUCUUCAAUCACCUCACAAUAGAAGCCGCCUUGAUAGAGUAGCCUUCUUCUUCACAUAGCCAAGAGUGCUCUGUCUUAGUUUGAGCACCCUCUUGAAUAGGCACGCCACUGCCUAGACCCGGUUGGCUUCUUCUUCAGUUACUUGCAAUGGUAGUAGGAAGACCAGUGAGCUUCAAGUGGGUUUUACAACCAUCUGCGCUUCACCCUUCUUGUAGUAACUCUCCAUUGCACACACACUGGACACCAUUCUUUCUCUUUAGACUCGGAUUAGAUGAUGAACUAGGAACACCUUUUGUGAACCUGAAACAUCACUCAAACUCUAGCCAAGAUAAGACACAAUUUCAUUGGGAUCAAUCCUUGACUUCAUCAAGUUUGAUCACCAAUGUCUCAAGCUUUAUAACAUUAGAUAGAAUCAAGACAAUGUCAAAUUCUUAUCUAUGCAAGCAACCAUUCUCUAAAUACUAAGCAAGACCUUAUCAGAUUCAAUGUCAAAGUAUUUAGGCAAUUUUAAUCACUCCUCAAUAUGCAACUUAGACUUUAAUCUAAAUGCAACAAUACAAGGCAGCAACAAGGCAGUAUGCAUUAAUCUUAAUCAGUUUCUAACUCAUGAAAGCAAGCAUGAAUAGAUAAUAUAAUCUAUCAUCUUACAAGACAAGAUAAUUUAGAACUGACAUUAUGCAUUUAACCAUUUUCAAUAGUAUUGAUGUCAAAUCUUGAUUAAUAAAUCAUCAAGUUUGAUUCCCAAUAUCACAAGCAAUGCAACAGAUAGACACAAGGCAUUAUCAAGUUCUAUUCUUUGCAAGCUAAAUCUCUAAGUACAAGCAAGAUCCUAACAGAUUCAAGACAAGUUACUUAGGCACUCUUAAGAGCUUCUUUACUCAGCACUUAGACAUGAAUCUAAUGCUUCAAUGUAAGACAGCCCCAAGACUAUAUGCAACAGCUUUAAAUUCGGUUUCACUCCAUGUAUGCAAGCAGAUUUAUAAUCAUAACAAGCAUUACUAUGAACCGGAGCUAAGCAUAUUAAACAAUUUCAAUACCCAAACAAGACUCUUAAAGCAUCCUGGGACAGAUUCUAAAGCUACUUCAUUUUAGCAAUCUUUUAAACAAUCCUCAGGUUUCCAAUGACAUCACAACAUCACAAUCAGUCAACAACACAAGCUCAUUAUCAAGAUGGUUUAUAGAAUCGCUUACAACAAGGAACCAGGUUGAUUCCUUUUGCAUUUUAUGACACAGCCUUGGCUUUUGUUGUAUCUGAGAGUCUAGCUUGUCACCCAUCUCUCUCUCUUCCAGUACAUAGCCACCAUCUUGUACCAACAACUCAAAAGACCCCUCCUUUCUUUAUUCAUCAACCCGCCAACAGCUAUGGAUCUUCAUUUCUUGUAACCGGAUAGAUGAGAGUUUCUUCAAGGACAAGUACAAGGAGUUUUGACUUGAAGACAUCUAGGCCUCUUCAUCCUCCUUUGCUUCCAUCAACCUCUUCAUCAGGUACUGGUAUGGCUGGCUGAAGGACGGGAUGAGGUAACAAUAGACUCGCCAAGCUUCAGCCUUUCUUCUUCACAAGAAACUGAACGGAUGGGGAGUUCUUCAAGGGUUUGGAUUUUGAGCUGAGGUGAGAGCAAGUGAUUUGCAGAAGCUACAGCUCAGGUUCUGAUGAACCUGGCUCUGAUACCAUAUGAUUUUUAUAGAGAUCUUUACUCUGAUUGUAUGUGUGUGUGUAUAAACUCAAAUAGAGAAAGAUUAGAGCUUGUUCUAGGUAAUUUAGAAAGAGGAAUUAAUGAGAGUGUAUAAAAAGACUUAGGAACAAAGAUUCAGAGACUAGAGAGACUGAGAGAAUAAGAGACUAGAGAUUGGUGUUUAGAUUCAAGAACAAGACUUAGUUUCAUGAAGGAGAAGGGAAACCCCCUUACUCACUUAACCUGUUUACAAACGACCAUGCUAAGCUUUUAUAUGAGCUUUACAACUUGUAUUCCUUUGGAAACCCUAACAUGAGAGAUAAGAUAAGAAGGGUGGAGAUCUUCUGGUUUGAAUUGGAUGAUGUAGAUUAAGUCUUGGUGCUUUACAAUCUCCUUGUAUGCGCAUGAUUGGAGGAUGAGAGGAACGGCUAGUAACACUCCACACUUGCCUCAUGUAUCUGUCCAUCUAACUGUCCAGAUACAUAGUCAGCUGUGUCUCUUCCUUUACAGCUCACGCCAGCCUGUCUUUGACCAUCCUACUCCAAUUAGAAUCAGGCGCCAACUCCAUUUGAACUCACACAGCACACAGCAUCUUCUUGAUGCUCUUUUGAUGCUUAUCUUUAACCCAGACUUUGUACUCUUAUCUUGGGACGUUCCAUGGCUGUACGGUCAUGUCACUGCCGUACACCAACGCCCUAUCUUUGCACCAUCAUCCAUCAACUCCCAAACUCCUCCAAAGUUCUCCCAACUCUGAUUCUAUUCCUUCUAAAUCAUUAUCUCUUCUUUAUAUCAGCUUCUCAUCACUUCUGAAACUUGAUUGAACUCUUCUGGAUAUCUUCUAGAGCUUGCCCUAUUAUUGUACAAGCUCUAUCUUCUCUUCAGUUCAACAGCAACGACCACUCCUCAUCACCUUAAACAAGGGAGUAAACCUAGUCUCAUCUAUCUUAAUAUGUCUUGAUAGGUUUAUCUCCUGAUUAUACUAUGUGCUUUUCCUAAUUCCAUUAAGAGUUUAUAGCUUCUAAGUAGAAUGUCUAGGCUAAUUGCACUGAGAUUGUUUUGCUGCUGCAUUGUCUUAUGGAUAGUAAGUAAUGUCUAGAGUCCCAGAAUCUCAUGUUCUGUUUAUUGCAUUGUCUUGAGUAUUGUCAUAGCUUGAAUCUUCAUGAAUGUGUUGUAGAAUUGAGUAGAAUGUCUCUGCUGCUUGCAUCAUGAUUGAUAAGUUAUUUUGCAUACUUAGCAUAUCUCAUACUGUCUAAGUUCAAUCCUAGUGUUAUCUGAUGCUAUUGCCUAUGUUUAAUCCAUCAAUGAAAGUCUUGCAUCAAUUAGAAAUUGUCUAAGUUGCUUGCAUCAUUGGUUCUGAUUGAAACUGUUGUGCAGAGCUUUAAUAUUACUCAUGGAUUGAACCUGUUGCAUUCAUAUAGCUAAUGCUUUAAGAUUGUGCAUUCAUGUAGUAAUGCAUUUAAAAAUGAGCCUAAAUUGCAAAUGUACUGAUAUAAGCUUUGCAUUUAGAGAACUGUAUAGAACUUGCAUUGUCAUUGUUAGAAAUUGAAAUCUGCUUGUCUUGACUCAGUCCAGUUCUGAUUGUUGCUAUGCCAUAGUUAAAUCCAUCAGUGAUGUAUUAUAAGCAAAUAGUAGUAUGUCUAAGCUACUUGAAUCAUUGGCUUUGAUAAAACUAGUGAGCAUAAGCAUGAAUUGAGUCACUCUUGUCGUCUUGAUUGCAUAAGUAUCAUCUAGACUUGUGUUCCAUUUGGAUUGAAUCUGUUUCAUUCAUAUAGUUAGUGUGUAACCUAAUGCAUUCAUCUAUUGUUGCAUUUAAAAAAAAAAGAAGAAAACAAAACUGAAUUGAUUGUCUUUGCUUGAUUGUCUUGAUUGUCUAGCUUGUCUCAAGUAUCCUAUAUUAUUGUGGCAUUGGUGAUCAAACAGGAUGGAUAAUCUUGGUUUGAUCCCAAUGGGAUGAUCUGAUCUUGCAUUGAGUUGUGGUGGUGUUAGGUACACAAGGAAUGUGAUACAUGAAACUCGCCAACAACCAAGAAUGUAAAGACAAAGAUCUUGUGCCAUUGCAUAUCAUCACUAGGACAUGUUAGUCCAUAAUCUACAGGAAGUGUAGUGUGAUUGAGUAUGCAAUGAGAGAUGGCCAUUGCAUAAUACCAUUGGACAUAUCUAGUCCUUAGUCUACAGGAAGUGUAGCAUGGGUCAUUAUGCAAUGAGAGGCGUGUCUUGUGAGACUCUCUAUGGUGAUUCAAACACCCUAAUUCCUGGUUAAGGAAGAGAGAAAACUCACAAGAAGAAAGCUAUCAUAAAAGAUGAUAGUUAUUAGACCAUGGAGAUGCAUAGGAUCAUCACAAGCUUAGCUCCUUCUAGUCUUGGUUCUAAGCUUGAGGGGGAGUCUUAAUGCAUAUGAUCCAUGGUCAGUAACAAGUCUUUGCAAAGGCUUCUACAAGGAUCAUCAACCGGACCAAGAUAGUGGCGUGUCUAGGCAAGAGGCUGUUCAGAGCAGUCUUGGUGAGUGAAGAAGAACGCUCUCCAUCAAUGCGGCUUCAAUGAGAGGUGAUUGAGGAGAAGCUGAUGAAUCCAUUCUGCCUUUCCAAGAAGUUGGUGAUGCCAUGAAGAUGGUGCAUUGGCCGAGUUAGGAAACUCACAAAAACACAAGGGAAGUUCCCUUAGACUUUUAAAACCUUUUUAUUCAUCUUAUUCAUUGCUUGUGCUUGAAAAGAUACGUAAAAUGAUUAUGAUUGAAUUGUGAGAUUGUGUGCAUCAAGUGUGAUGCAGGAUAUUCAUUUUCUUGUUUUUGAUAGGUACCAUUGCUUGAGCCUCACUAAAGGUGUUCCUGGUCAUUUCUAGCUUCUCUAAGGUGGCUGUGAAGUCUGUUGAGAGGGGGAGAUUCAAACCAGUUCUAUGAAGAGGGAAAGCCGUGUGUGAAGUGUUGAUCAACCUCACUGGUGUUUUGAAGAUGAUCUGGUCGUGUCCUAGCUUCUCUAAGAUGGCUGAGAAGUCAGUUGAGAGGGGGAGACUUCAAACCGGUUCCAUGAAGAGGUGAAGCUGAAGUGUGAAGUGUGCGCAAAGCUGUGAAGAGUUGCUGCACCUAUUAGGCCGUGAUCCAGAGCUUCUUGUGUCCAACCACACUGGUUCUAAGGCACAAGAGCUCACUGGCCAAUCCCUAGGCUUUGGAGAGCUCUACUCUUUUUCCCUUGCAAGGUUUUGUCCCAAUGGGUUUUCCUUGUAAGGUUUUUAAUGAGGGAGACUCUUCAGAGUUCCAAGCUUGGCUUAGGAUCUCCUAAAGUCAAGCUUGAGGGGGAGUGUUGAACUGAAGAGAAGAUGGAGCUUGUACAAUGAUAGGGCAAGCUCUAGAAGAUGUCUAGAAGAGUUCAAUCAAGCUUCAGAAGUGUUCUGAAGAAGUUAUCUUGUGAAGAUAAGUCUAGGAAAGACUUAGACUGAUCAUGUGAGGGCUUUGAAGGAGUUAGAGAGAAGAUGGAAGUGUGGUGCAAAGAUAGGGCCAAGUCCAGGAGGGACUUAGAAGAGUAUUUGGGCCAGUGUGCAAACUUAGGGACUGGCUGUACGGAUUUGGUACGGACGUUGUACGGACCGUACGGAUCCGUACGGACCGAGACAUCCCGAAAGUUCACCAGUCAACCAUUUGAGCACAUUUGAAGUUGGUGCAAAAAUAGGGCACUGGUGAAACUCUUAAGAGAAGAAGACAAAGGAGAGGCUGGCGAGUGACAGGCUGGAAAGGAGAGUCUCUUGCUGUAAAGUAAAAGCAAAAGGAGACCAUGUAUCUAGCAAAAGAAGUGGGCAGAUUCAUGGGAGCCUUUAGCUAGCCAAUAAGGAGCCAGCCUUCCCUUGACCAGAUUCAAAUGGACCAAUUAUCCAUCAGGAACAGCACAGCCACGACCAAGACCAUCUCUCCAUCUCAUCCAUUCAUUUAAAUUCAAGUUAUAACAGCCCUUAGAUUUAGGUUUAUGAUUGCAAGUUGUAAAGAGCAUAUAUAAGCUCAUAAGUGAUGUUUUGUAACUCUUAAGUGAGUAAGGGGGUUUCCCUUCUCCUUCUCUAAUCUGAAACACUUUCUUAGUCUCUCUAGUCUCUCAUCCUGAAUCUCUUUACACGUUCUCAGUCUUGUUACUAAUCUCUUAAACACUUAGACACACAAACACUCAUCAAACUUCAUUUCUCUCAAAUCGCUUCCAAGCUCUCUCUCUUUACCCAUUUGGGUUUCAUACACACAUACAACCUGAGUACUCUUAAAUCUCAUAGUUCAAGCUGUAGACGUCAAGCUGUUCAGAAUGGAGAGUGGCAUGAAGAUGAAGGUCGCGGUGACAUUCAAGGGGAGCAACUACCUAGUCUGGUCUAGGAUGGUGAAGACUGCUGUGGGAAGCAAGGGUCUGUGGAAGCAUAUCACAUCUGGUGAGGCUCCAAUGGCGAUUACCCAAGGAAGUGAUAAGGAGAGCCCCACGGAGAGUGAUGUUGAGAAGUGGCAACAAGAAGACAUGAUGGUAAUGACAGUACUUCAUGCUUCAUUGGAGCCAGCUAUCUAUUGAGAUGAAGACCAAGGAGAGACAGUAACUUUAGAGUUUUACUGUGGUAACUUUAUUUUAACCACAGUAACUACUUGGAAAGUUAUCUGAUGAGAUGAGAAGGUAACUUAGUGAAGAGAAGAAGGUAAACUCGACCAAAGAGGAUAAGGAAGGAUAAGGGAGCACUUUGACAGCCUGUAUGAUGCUGGAAAGGAGAGGAUGCUUUUACACUAGUGCAAGCAUGUGAGAAAGCACAGCCAAGUGAUUCAAAAGGAGUUCCAGCCUGUCCUUUGACUACACAUGCUUAUACAUUUCGAAAUUCCUUGUUGCUCUCUCUUUAUAUACUUGUAAACCCUCAUCAAUUAUUAAUUAAUGGAGUUUUGAGUCUCUCUCUCUUUAUUCUCUCUCUAAUCUCUUAAUCUCUUUAAUCUUCUCAUCUGAUUAUCCCUGAUUAGUUGAAUCAUGCUCUAAUACACAAAAGUGUAUAUGGUAUCAGAGCCAGGUUACGCAAAGUGGGAGAGUGUGAUUCCUUUUUCUUAAAAAUCUUGAGUGUUCUUGAGUGUUCUUGGUGUUCUUAACUUCUGGGUUUCAUUAUCUUGGUGGCGUGAGAGGUUCUGGUGAAUCCAAAUCAUCUCAACAUGGAUAUGGAGCACAGACCUGAGUCAACUGUGAAGACUGAAGAGGAGAGGCAUGGCGAGUGGUCAAGGUGGGCCAAAAGAGCUUUGGAAAGCUGUGGGUUAUGGAGUAGUCAUGGAAAGGGGAAACCUUUCAUGGAAAUGGCUACUGAAGAAGGCCAGACAAGAGGUCUGAAGCUGGGAAAUGAAGUUGUUCAAGGAAACACUACAAAGAGUGAGAUUGAAGCAACUUUAGGCAAGUCCAAGCUUGUAAGAGCCAUUGAGGACAGAGGGGUGAUCCGCGGCUUGAGACAAGGAAAGGAUGAGUGUUAUCAGCUUGUGGGAAGGCUGAGAGAAGUAUGGUCAGAGUUAGAUGUGGUGAAGGCACACACAUCAAAUCCGAGAUGUUGUCAAGAAAGGAGGAAGCAAGAUGUGAUCUUCAGCUUUCUUAUGGAAGAGGUAUGUGAGCUUGUUAAAUAUACUUGUGAUGUGUGGGAAAUGAACAGGAAGCCAGAAAGAUGGAAGAGAGGUACAAGCUGUAAGAAGGGAAGGUUGAGAAAACUUUCUAAGGAGUGGUUAAUGAAGAGAAGGGCAUGGAGAAAGGAUAGCGAGUCUGAACACUUAAGUGACAGGAUGAGUGUGAUCUUGAAGAGAAUCAAGGAUGUACUUCAGCAGAUGGUUAUAGGAGAGUGUUCAUACUCAGCUUACAUGGGAGAAACAGUAGGAGACAGUGCGGGUAUGAGAGGAAUGGAUACCAAGAGGGCAGAUGAGUGUGUGACAAAGAAGGAAUGGGAUGAGUUGGUUAAGCAUGUGUAUGCUUUGGCUACGACCCGGAGUCUGGGUGCUCCUGCCAAAGCAUCCACAUCUAAACCCAUCAUCAUUGACUCUGGAGCAACACACCACAUGAUCAGUGACAAGAGACUAAUCAGUGAGGUUAAAGCAGCAACAGGGAGUGUCAUGAUAGCCAAUGGUACCAGGAUCCCAAUAGAAGGAGUGGGAAACCUCAAGCUGUUUGAGAAGAACUCCACUGCCUUCUACCUACCUCAGUUUACAUCCAAUCUAAUCUCAGUUAAGAAGGCUACAGUUGAUCUGGAUUGUCAAGUGGUUUUCAGACCAAAUGAAGUUGAGUUCCAGGAUUUGAAGACUGGAAGGGUUAUUGGCAGAGGAGACAGCAAGCAUCAGCUCUAUCAUCUCCAAACAACUGAGGCGCCUAGUCCUGUGGAGUCUGUGUGUUUAAGCAGCACAACGGAUAGGUGUGAUAAUCUCACAUGGCAUGCAAGGCUGGGACAUCCUCAUGCCAAGGCAAUUGAACUGAUUCUACCAAGUAUGGCGUUCAAUCACUUGGAGUGUGAAGCUUGUAUACUUGGAAAGCACUGUAGGACUGUCUUCCCAACAUCAGAAACCAGAUAUGAGAAUUGCUUUGAUCUGGUGCAUUCAGACGUGUGGACAGCUCCCUGUAUGUCUAGAGACAGCCAUAAGUACUUUGUGACUUUCAUUGAUGAGAAGUCAAAGUACACAUGGAUCACCAUGAUUCCCUCCAAAGACAGAGUCCUAGAAGCCUUCAUGAACUUCCAAGCAUAUGUUACUAAUCAGUACAAUGCCACUGUGAAGAUUCUGAGGUCUGAUAAUGGAGGAGAAUACACUAGCAAUGCUUUCAAGAGUCAUCUUGCAAAGCAUGGGAUUGUGCAACAAACUAGCUGUCCUUACACACCACAACAAAAUGGGGUGGCUGAGAGGAAGAACAGACAUUUGAUGGAGGUUGCGAGAUCAAUAAUGUUCCACAUGAAUGUCCCUAAGAGGUUUUGGAGUGAUGCUGUUCAGACUGCUUGCUAUCUCAUCAAUAGAGUGCCAACCCGUGUCUUGAAGAAACUGUCUCCCUUUGAAGUACUGAACAAGACCAAGCCACACAUUGAUCAUUUGAGAGUCUUUGGGUGCUUAUGUUAUGUGAUGAUUCCCGGAGAAAGAAGGAACAAGCUAGACGCAAAGAGUACUAAAGCUAUGUUCAUUGGGUACUCAAUCACUCAGAAAGGCUACAAAUGUUAUGAUCCAAUAACUAGGAGGGUUAUGGUAUCUAGAGAAGUGAAGUUUGUUGAGUCUAAAGGGUAUUAUGAGGAGAAGAAAUGGGAAGACCUAGAGGAUCUGUCCAGAGCUCCAUCAGAGAAGGAAACAACAUUGAGAGUGUUGUUGGAGAGGCUAGGGAUAGGAUUAUCCCAAGAUCAGGAACCAGGAAGAACAGGACCUUCUAAUCAAGCUGGAGAAGCUGGAGGAACAACCCCUCUUGAUCAUGAGAGGGGGAAUGGAUCUGAAUCAGGGGAGCAGGAGCAUAACCAAGAGGAUUCAGGUCAGCAUGAUCAGGAGGAGACACAGGAAGUAGAGAGUGAAGCUCAGUCAGGUGGAAAUGAGCAGGGAGAACCUACUGGUUUAAGAGAGGAAGCACAAGAGAAUGUUCAGGCUGAAGAACAGGUUGAGACCUUGCGGAGGAGCACAAGGAUAAGGAGGGAUCCUUCCAACUGGGUAAACACGAGAGUGUACUACAAUGCCCAGGCUGUGGAGCAUCCCUCUCAAGCCGUGUGUUCCUUUGCUGAGUUUCCAGAAGAGCACAUGGUGUUUAUGUGUAACUUGGAUGAGAAUGAGAUACCAAGAUCUUAUGAAGAAGCUAUGAAGCACAAGGUUUAGAGAGAUUCAGUAGGAGAUGAAAGGGAUGCAAUGAUCAGGAAUGAUACUUGGUAUGAGAUUGAGUUACCUAAAGGGAAGAAGGCAGUUUCAAGCAGAUGGAUCUUCACCAUCAAGUACCUUGCAAAUGGGGAGAUAGAUAGGCGCAAGACUAGGCUGGUUGCAAGAGGAUUUACACAGACUUAUGGGGAAGAUUACAUUGAUACUUUUGCACCAGUGGCCAAGCUUCACACAAUUCGAAUUGUGUUAUCUAUUGCAACAAACUUGGAGUGGGAUUUGUGGCAAAUGGAUGUGAAGAAUGCUUUCUUGCAAGGUGAACUUGAAGAUGAAGUAUACAUGCAUCCACCUCCUGGUCUUGAGCAUCUAGUAAAGCCAGGGAAUGUUUUGAGAUUGAAGAAAGCAAUAUAUGGGUUGAAACAGUCACCUAGAGCUUGUUACAGGAAGCUGAGUACAACACUCAAUGGGAGAGGCUUUAGGAAGUCUGAACUAGAUCACACUCUCUUCACCUUGACAGGACCUUCAGGGAGCAUUGUGAUUCUAGUGUAUGUGGAUGAUUUGAUUAUCACAGGAAGUGAUAAGGCAGGGAUUCAGGCUACUAAGGAGUUUCUCAAAUCUGUGUUUGACAUCAAGGAUUUGGGAGAGAUGAAGUAUUUUCUGGGCAUUGAGAUAUGCAGAUCAAAGGAGGGUUUGUUUAUGUCUCAAAGGAAGUAUACUUGGAUAUGAUGAAGGAGACUGAUGUGCUUGGAGGAAAGAUAGCUAAGACACCCCUUGAGGAGGGAUAUAAAGUUCUGCGUGAGGGGGAGGUUGAAGAGAAGCAGCUGUUUGAAGAUCCUAAGCUAUACAGGAAGAUGGUUGGCAAGCUGAUCUACUUGACCAUCACCAGACCAGAUAUAUGUUUUGCUGUGAACCAAGUGAGUCAGCAUAUGCAGGCACCAAAGGUCCAUCACUGGAAGAUGGUUGAUAGGAUACUGAGGUAUCUGAGUGGGACGACUGGACAAGGGGUUUGGAUGGGUUGUAAUGGCAGUACAGAAGUGGUUGGGUAUUGUGAUGCUGAUUGGGCAGGAGAUAGAGUGGACAGGAGAUCAACUACGGGUAUUGUACAUUCAUUGGAGGAAACUUGGUUACUUGGAAGAGUAAGAAGCAGAAGGUUAUCUCUUGUUCAAGUGCUGAAGCUGAGUAUAGAGCCAUGCUGAAGCUGACAAACGAGUUGGUGUGGAUCAAGGGGAUCUUGAAGCAUCUAGAGAUUGAGCAGAGUACUCCUAUGACUAUGCAUUGUGACAAUCAAGCAGCUAUCCACAUUGCCUCCAACUCAGUGUUUCAUGAGAGAACAAAGCACAUAGAGGUGGAUUGUCAUAAGGUGAGGCAGAUGAUUAUCUUAGGAAUGAUUCUGCCAUGUUAUACAAGAAGUGAAGAUCAGCUUGCAGAUGUGUUUACUAAGGCAGCGAGAUUAAAGACAAUGGAGUCCAUACUAUCCAGGCUUGGACUCAUUGAUCUUACUCCCAGGAGCUGAGCCCCUUAACCAUGGAGUCUCCACUCUUUUUCCCUCAUCAAGGUUUUAUCCCAAUGGGUUUUACUUGGUGAGGUUUUUAAUGAGGGAGAUCUUCAUGGUUUCCAAGCUUGACUUGUUCUACAUGGUCAAGCUUGAGGGGGAGUAUUGAGAUGAAGACCAAGGAGAGACAGUAACUUUAGAGUUUUACUGUGGUAACUUUAUUUUAACCACAGUAACUACUUGGGAAGUUAUCUGAUGAGAUGAGAAGGUAACUUAGUGAAGAGAAGAAGGUAAACUCGACCAAAGAGGAUAAGGAAGGAUAAGGGAGCACUUUGACAGCCUGUAUGAUGCUGGAAAGGAGAGGAUGCUUUUACACUAGUGCAAGCAUGUGAGAAAGCACAGCCAAGUGAUUCAAAAGGAGUUCCAGCCUGUCCUUUGACUACACAUGCUUAUACAUUUCGAAAUUCCUUGUUGCUCUCUCUUUAUAUACUUGUAAACCCUCAUCAGUUAUUAAUUAAUGGAGUUUUGAGUCUCUCUCUCUUUAUUCUCUCUCUAAUCUCUUAAUCUCUUUAAUCUUCUCAUCUGAUUAUCCCUGAUUAGUUGAAUCAUGCUCUAAUACACAAAAGUGUAUACUAUCUUAGAUGCUUAUAGCUACUGUGAGACAGCCAAGGAGCUGUGGGAUACUCUGAAGAAAGUGUAUGGGAACACUUCUAAUCUGAACCGGGUGUUUGAAGUCAAGAAGGCAAUCAAUGGGCUCACGCAAGAAGACAUGGAGUUUACUAAGCACUUAGGGAGGUUCCAGUCUCUGUGGUCUGAGUUGGAGAUGCUGAGGCCAAGCACGGUUGAUCCUGAGCUGCUGAAUGAGAGGCGUGAGCAGGAUAAGGUCUUUGGGUUGCUACUCACGUUGAACCCAAGCUACAAUGGCCUUAUCCAACAUAUGCUGAGGUCUGAGAAACUACCUGAUCUUGAGGAAGUGUGUACGCAGAUACAGAAGGAGCAGGGCUCAAUGGGCUUGUUUGGAGGCAAGGGAGACUUGUCUCUUGCAAACGCUGCGCAAUCUGACCGAGAAGAGACUCCACAAGCCAACAAAGCCACACACAACAAGUUUGAAGACAGGAAGUUCAAUGGAAGCUGUGAUCAUUGCAAGAAGCAUGGACACAAGAAGAGUCAGUGCUGGAUACUCCAUCCCCACUUGAAGCCGGCCAAGUUCAUGAAGGAGAGAGAAGCUAGAGCUCACAUGACUGAAGGAACAAGUGGAGCAGGACCAUCUAACCGAGCUACUGAAGUGGAGAACCGUGAAGGUGAUGGCAAGGCUUUGGUGACCUAUACUGGAGCUAUCAACCCCCGAGGCAAUGAUCAGGACUUCAUCAGGAGAUCCGAGAUGGAUGCACUCAUCAAAAUGCUCAAGGAUAAUGGUAACAUUCAUGGGUAUUCAUUUGGUGCAUCUAUGAUUGCUAGAACUAUAGAAAUGACUCCUAAUAUGGCUGAGAUUGCUAGGAUUGAUAGUAAGACUGGAAUUGAACAUUGCUUUGAUAGAAAUGCUAGGAUGAAUGCAUAUAGAUCACCAAUUAGUAUCUGCCAUAGUGCUAGCAAUACAUCCAAACCAUUGAUUAUAGAUUCUGGUGCAUCUCAUCAUAUGAUUAGUGACACCAACUUGAUUAAAGAUAUAGAACCUACUAAUGGAUGUGUGAUGAUUGCAAAUGGAGAUAAGAUACCCAUCAAGGGUAUAGGAAACUUGAAGCUAUUUGAUAAGAACACUAGAGCAUUUUAUAUUCCGGAAUUCACAUCAAACCUACUUUCAGUUAAGAAAUGCACUACUGAUUUGAAUUGCAAUGUUAUAUUCAGUCCUAAUGAUGUAAAGUUUCAGGAUAUUGAGAGCAGCCAAUUGAUUGGAAAAGGAGUUACAAAGGGAGACUUAUACAUGCUUGAGAAGCUUGAUCCUGUUUCCAAUUAUAACUGCUCAUUUACUUCUGCUUCUAGUUUGAAUAAAAAUGCAUUGUGGCAUGCUAGAUUAGGACAUCCACAUGGGAGAGCCUUAAGCUUAAUGUUACCAGGUGUUGUUUUCGAAAAUAAGAAUUGUGAAGCUUGCAUUUUAGGCAAGCAUUGUAAGAAUGUUUUUCCAAGAACAUCUACUGUUUAUGAAAGUUGCUUUGAUUUAAUUCACACUGAUGUUUGGACUGCACCUAGCUUAUCUAGAGAUAAUCAUAAGUACUUUGUCACAUUCAUUGAUGAAAAAUCUAAAUACACCUGGUUAACACUAAUCCCAUCAAAAGAUAGGGUGAUAGAUGCAUUCAAGAACUUUCAAGCUUAUGUGACUAACCAUUAUCAUGCUAAGAUUAAAAUUUUGAGAUCAGAUAAUGGAGGAGAGUACACAAGCUAUGCAUUCAAGAGUCAUCUAGAGCAUCAUGGAAUCCUUCACCAAACAAGCUGUCCUUACACACCUCAACAGAAUGGUGUGGCCGAGAGAAAGAACAGACACUUGAUGGAGGUGGCUCGGUCCCUGAUGUUUCAAGCCAAUGUACCUAAGAGGUUUUGGAGUGAUGUUGUGUCUACUGCAUGCUAUCUGAUUAACAGGAUGCCCACAAAGGUGUUGAAGGAUCAAGCACCAUUUGAAGUUCUGAACAAGCGCAAGCCAUCCUUGGAAUACAUGAGAGUCUUUGGAUGCUUAUGCUAUGUUCUAGUACCAGGAGAGUUGAGGAACAAGCUAGAAGCAAGAAGCAGAAAGGCAAUGUUCAUUGGCUACUCAAAAAGGAUAUAAAUGUUAUGAUCCAGAAGCUAGAAGGGUACUUGUAUCUAGAGAUGUGAAGUUUAUUGAAGAAAAGGGAUACUAUGAGGAGAAGAAUCAAGAAGACUUAAAGGAUCUCACAUCAGAUAAGGCUGGAGUCUUAAGGAUCAUUUUGGAAGGUCUCGGUAUCAAGAUGAACCAGGAUCAGUCCACAAGAAGUGGAAGCCAAGAAGAGAGCUCAAAUGAACCAAGUAGAGCUGCUCAAACACCUCACCUUGAUCAUGAGGGGGGAAAUGAACCUGAAACUCAAGAAAAUGGCCAAGAAGGUGUCGGCUUGAGUGAGGAAGGAGAAGAGAUCAACACAGGUUCUCAUCAUCAAGGUGAGCAAGACCAAAGAGAUGAAGAACAUCAGAGUGAAGCACAAGAACCGAAUGCACAAGCUGAACUGGUUCAAGAGCAAGAACAACCAGUAUUGAGGAGAAGCACAAGGCUGAGAAAGGAUCCUUCCUCUUGGGUAAACACGCGAGUGUACUACAAUGCCCAAGCUGUGGAGCAUCCUUCCCAAGUUGUGUGUUCUUUUGCUCAAUACCCUGAAGAACAUUGUGCCUUCAUGGUUAACUUAGAUGAGAAUUACAUCCCAAGAAGCUAUGAAGAGGCAAUAAUAGAUAAAGAAUGGAAGGAGUCAGUUGGUGCUGAGGCAGGAGCUAUGAUCAAGAAUGAUACAUGGUAUGAGAGUGAGUUACCAAAAGGGAAGAAGGCUGUGACUAGUAGAUGGAUAUUCACAAUCAAGUAUAAGGCUGAUGGAAAGAUUGAGAGGAAGAAGUCAAGGCUGGUUGCAAGAGGUUUCACUCAAACUUAUGGAGAAGAUUACAUAGAAACCUUGGCACCAGUAGCUAAACUACAUACAAUCCGGAUUGUAUUGAGCUUGGCUGUGAACCUUGGAUGGGGCUUAUGGCAAAUGGAUGUGAAGAAUGCAUUCCUACAAGGAGAACUUGAGGAUGAAGUGUAUAUGCAUCCACCUCCAGGCCUGGAAUACUUAGUGAAGAGAGGGAAUGUGUUAAGAUUGAAGAAAGCUAUCUAUGGGCUGAAGCAAUCACCAAGAGCUUGGUACAACAAGCUGAGCACUACUCUCAAUGGCCGAGGCUUCAAGAAGUCUGAACUAGAUCACACACUCUUCACUCUCACUACUCCCUCAGGUAUGAUUGCACUCCUUGUGUAUGUUGAUGAUAUCAUUAUCACAGGAAGUGAUAAGGAAGGUAUCAUAGCAACCAAGGAGUUUCUUAAAUCCAUGUUUGAGAUUAAAGACUUGGGAGAAAUGAAAUACUUUCUUGGAAUUGAGAUAUGUAGAUCCAAGGAAGGUUUAUUCAUGUCCCAAACGAAAUAUACACUUGAUCUUUUGAAAGGUGCAGGUGCUUAUGGAGGCAAGACAGCAAGGAUGCCUAUGGAGGAUGGCUACAAAGUCCCACGAGAGGGGGAGAUUGAAGACAGCAAGCCUUAUCAGGAUCCUAAACUCUAUAGAAAACUAGUUGGCAAAUUGAUUUAUCUUACCAUAACUAGACCUGACAUUUGCUUUGCUGUGAAUCAUGUGAGUCAACACAUGCAAGUGCCUAAGGAGCAUCACUGGCGCAUGGUAGAGAGGAUCUUGAUGUAUCUCAACGGCUCACCUGAUCAAGGAGUAUGGAUGGGCUGCAAUGGAAGCACUGAAGUGGUGGGAUACUGUGAUGCGGAUUGGGCUGGUGAUAGAGCAGACAGGAGAUCAACCACAGGCUAUUGCACAUUCAUUGGAGGCAACUUGGUGACUUGGAAGAGUAAGAAGCAGAAGGUGGUGUCUUGCUCAAGUGCAGAAGCUGAGUAUAGAGUUAUGCUGAAGCUCACCAACGAGUUAGUAUGGAUCAAAGGCAUCUUGAAGCAUUUGGAGAUUGAUCAAGCCACGCCAAUGACCAUGCAUUGUGACAACCAAGCAGCUAUCCACAUUGCCUCCAACUCGGUGUUCCAUGAGAGAACCAAGCACAUUGAAGUUGAUUGCCACAAGGUGAGGCAGAUGAUCAUCCUAGGAGUCAUCUUGCCAUGCUACACAACAAGUGAAGAUCAAUUAGCGAUGUGUUCACCAAGGCUGCAAGACAGAAGACAAUGGAGUCCAUUCACAUACGGUUGGGCCUCAUUGAUCUUGGGAAGAGAAGGAGCUGAUCCCCUUGGCUGUGAGGUCUUUACUCUUUUUCCCUUAUCAAGGUUUUAUCCCAAUGGGUUUUCCUUGGUAAGGUUUUUAAUGAGGAAGAUCUCAUAGCUAUCCAAGCUUAGGCUUUCACAAAGCUAAGCUUGAGGGGGAGUGUUGAGUUGAGUUGAGUAUAAGUGUGAAGCAAGUGAGGAGUUGAGACUAAGGAGAUGAGUUGAAGCUUGGGAAGGUUUGGGCAAGGUCCGUACAAGUCCGUACAAUCCGUACAUGACCGUACACAUGAAGAUGGGUGAAACCUUGACAAGGGUAAAGAAGUUACUUGCGGUAACUUAGGUGAAGGGAAGGAACUUACCUGGAUGCAUCAGACCGUUUAGGGAUAAGGUAGAGCGCGCCUUGACAGGCUGGAACAGCUGGAAAGGCAAGAGCAUCUCGGUCCAAGAUGCUAGAUGCUCCGCGCAUGUGGAGAAGCUAAUUGGCUAGUCCAAAUGAGCUUAUCCUCUCCUGAUUGACCUCACAUGCUUUAGUCUUCUCUUGAUUUCGAAAACCCUUGUAUGCUCACACUAUAUAUUGUAACUCAUGUCCUUAAUGAAAGAUUAGACAGUUCUAAACAAUCUUUCUCUUUACUCAUUUCAUCAUGAUUCUCCAUUAGCCUCUAAUCAGUCUCUUAAAUCUCUUAUUCUCUUCCUUAAUCUUAUUCUAAACUCAGAUUAAUCUUUAUAUUCCUAAAAGUCAUAAUAACUUCUUCAUCCCAACUCCUAUGAGAUUUAUUCAACUUCCUGGUGAUUCUCCACCACUUUAUGUAUCCAAAUUAAGCUUCUCACAAAGUGAUUCAUCCUGGUUUGAUUGGAACGACGAUGAAGCUGUGCUAUUCCCAAACUGAGAAACUGGAAUCACCUUAUUUGAAUGUGGGAUAACUUCUUCUUGCCAACUCCUAUGAGAUUUAUUCAACAUCCUGGUGAUUCUACACCACUUUAUGUAUCCAAAUCAAGCUUCUUACAAAGUGAUUCAUCCUGGUUUGAUUGGAACGACGAAGAAGCUGUGCUAUUCCCAAACUGGGAAACUGGAAUCACCUGAUUUGAAAGGGGAAUAACUUCUUCAUCCCAACUCCUAUGAGAUUUAUUCAACUUCCUGGUGAUUCUCCACCACUUUAUGUAUCCAAAUCAAGCUUCUCACAAAGUGAUUCAUCCUGGUUUGAUCGGAACGACGAUGAAGCUGUGCUAUUCCCAAACUGGGAAACUGGAAUCACCUGAUUUGAAAGGGGAAUAACUUCUUCAUCCCAACUCCUAUGAGAUUUAUUCAACUUCCUGGUGAUUCUCCACCACUUUAUGUAUCCAAAUCAAGCUUCUCACAAAGUGAUUCAUCCUGGUUUGAUUGGAACGACGAUGAAGCUGUGCUAUUCCCAAACUGGGAAACUGGAAUCACCUGAUUUGAAAGUGGGAUAACUUCUUCAUCCCAACUCCUAUGAGAUUUAUUCAACUUCCUGGUUAUUCUCCACCACUUUAUGUAUCAAAAUCAAGCUUCUCACAAAGUGAUUCAUCCUGGUUUGAUUGGAACGACGAAGAAGCUGUCCUAUUCCCAAACUGGGAAACUGGAAUCACCUGAUUUGAAAUUGGGAUAACUUCUUCUUUCCAACUCCUAUGAGAUUUAUUCAACUUCCUGGUGGUUCUCCACCACUUAUUGUAUCCAAAUCAAGCUUCUCACAAAGUGAUUCAUCCUGGUUUGAUUGGAACGACGAUGAAGCUGUGCUAUUCCCAAACUGGGAAACUGGAAUCACCUGAUUUGAAAGUGGGAUAACUUCUUCAUCCCAACUCCUAUGAGAUUUAUUUAACUUCCUGGUGAUUCUCCACCACUUUAUGUAUCCAAAUCAAGCAUCUUACAAAGUGAUUCAUCCUGGUUUGAUUGGAACGACGAAGAAGCUGUCCUAUUCCCAAACUGGGAAACUGGAAUCACCUGAUUUGAAAGUGGGAUAACUUCUUCUUUCCAACUCCUAUGAGAUUUAUUCAACUUCCUUGUGAUUCUCCACCACUUAAUGUAUCCAAAUCAAGCUUCCCACAAAGUGAUUCAUCCUGGUUUGAUUGGAACGACGAAGAAGCUUUCCUAUUCCCAAACUGGAAAACUGGAAUCACCUGAUUUGAAAGUGGAAUAACUUCUUCUUUCCAACUCCUAUGAGAUUUAUUCAACUUCCUGGGGAUUCUCUAUCACUUUUAGAGUAAUGAAUAGUAAUCUGAGUGUUUAGUAUAGAUUUAAGAGAGAUUAGAGAAGAAAUGAGUGUAGAGAGUAAGGUUUAGAGAACAAGACUAAGAGUAAGCCAUGGAGGCAAAGAUAAGCUGAAGUGUCUAAGUUUUAUUAAUGACCAGAUGUUACAAUACAUAGAGAGGCAUCUCGAGGUUAAGGGUUUCAGAAAGCACACUAUUACAUGGGAUAAGAUUCUGCUUUAAUUCAAACUGUCCAAUUAAGCUCUUCCUUGUGUGUAAAGUAUGAUUUUUAAAGAGAUCUCUACUCUUGUUGUUGAGAUGAGGUAAUAAAGAGUGACUACAUUGAUAGAGAAAGAGGAUUGAGACAGACAGUAACUUUGGAGUUACCACAGUAACUUUGGUUUUACUGUGGUAACUAAGUUAAAGCUUGGAAAGUUACCUUGGCUCACAUUGGAGAGUAAGCCACGACCAAGAGCUGUAUGGAUAAGGGAGGAGCAGUCUGGAUAAGGUUUCCUCACAGCUAGAGAGGCUGGAGACAGGCUGUAAAGUAGACAGCAUCUAGUAAAAGAUGCCAAAGGGAUCAAGCAUGUGAAGACUCCCAUUGGCUGCUUUUGGAUGGCUCUCUUUGACUACACAUGCCCUGAACCUCUACCUUAUCUGAUUGAUUUCGAAAUUGAUUGUCUCUCUCAUAUAAGUAUGUUGUAAACCUCAUCUUUAUUAAUUAAUGGAGUUUUGAGUCUCUCUCUCUUUAUUCUCUCUCUAAAAUCUCUUAAUCUCUUUAAUCUUUUCAUCUGAUUAUCCCUGAUUGGUUGAAUCAUGCUCUAAUACACAAAAGUGUAUAUGGUAUCAGAGCCAGGUUGCUAAAAAGGGGAGAGUGUGAUUUCGUUUUUCAUAAAAAUCUGGGUGUUCUUGAGUGUUCUUGAGUGUUCUUGGUGUUCUUGAGUUCUGUUCUUUAUUAUCUGAGUGGUGUGAGAUAUUCUGAUGGAUUCAAACUAUCUCAACAUGGAAAUGAAGCACAGAUCUAGUACAACCAUGGAGCUUGAAGAAGAGAGGGAUGGCGAUUGGUCAAGAUGGGCAAAGAGAGCUUUGGAAAGCUGUGGGUUAUGGAGUAGUCAUGGAAAGGGGAAACCUUUCAUGGAAAUGGCUACUGAAGAAGGUCAGACAAGAGGUCUGAAGCUGGGAAAUGAAGUUGUUCAAGGAAACACUACAAAGAGUGAGAUUGAAGCAACUUUAGGCAAGUCCAAGCUUGUGAGUCGUUGAGGACAGAGGGGUGAUCCGCGGCUUGAGACAAGGAAAGGAUGAGUGUUAUCAGCUUGUGGGAAGGCUGAGAGAAGUAUGGUCAGAGCUAGAUGUGGUGAAGACACACACAUCAAAUCCGAGAUGUUGUCAAGAAAGGAGGAAGCAAGAUGUGAUCUUCAGCUUCCUUAUGGAAGAGGUAUGUGAGCUUGUUAAAUAUACUUGUGAUGUGUGGGAAAUGAACAGGAAGCCAGAAAGAUGGAAGGGAGGUACAAGCUGUAAGAGGGGAAGGUUGAGAAAACUUUCUAAGGAGUGGUUAAUGAAGAGAAGGGCAUGGAGAAAGGAUAGCGAGUCUGAGCACUUAAGUGACAGGAUGAGUGUAAUCUUGAAGAGAAUCAAGGAUGAACUUCAGCAGAUGGUUAUAGGAGAGUGUUCAUACUCAGCUUACAUGGGAGAAACAGUAGGAGACAGUGCGGAUAUGAGAGGAAUGGAUACCAAGAGGGCAGAUGAGUGUGUGACAAAGAAGGAAUGGGAUGAGUUGGUUGAGCAUGUGUAUGCUUUGGCUACGACCCGGAGUCUGGGUGCUCCUGCCAAAGCAUCCACAUCUAAACCCAUCAUCAUUGACUCUGGAGCAACACACCACAUGAUCAGUGACAAGAGACUAAUCAGUGAGGUAAAGCAGCAACAGGGAGUGUCAUGAUAGCCAAUGGUACCAGGAUCCCAAUAGAAGGAGUGGGAAACCUCAAGCUGUUUGAGAAGAACUCCACUGCCUUCUACCUACCUCAGUUUACAUCCAAUCUAAUCUCUGUUAAGAAGGCUACAGUUGAUCUGGAUUGUCAAGUGGUUUUCAGACCAAAUGAAGUUGAGUUCCAGGAUUUGAAGACUGGAAGAGUUAUUGGCAGAGGAGACAGCAAGCAUCAGCUCUAUCAUCUCCAAACAACUGAGGCGCCUAGUCCUGUGGAGUCUGUGUGUUUAAGAAGCACAACGGAUAGGUGUGAUAAUCUCACAUGGCAUGCAAGGCUGGGACAUCCUCAUGCCAAGGCAAUUGAACUGAUUCUACCAAGUAUGGCGUUCAAUCACUUGGAGUGUGAAGCUUGUAUACUUGGAAAGCACUGUAGGACUGUCUUCCCAACAUCAGAAACCAGAUAUGAGAAUUGCUUUGAUCUGGUGCAUUCAGACGUGUGGACAGCUCACUGUAUGUCUAGAGACAGCCAUAAGUACUUUGUGACUUUCAUUGAUGAGAAGUCAAAGUACACAUGGAUCACCAUGAUUCCCUCCAAAGACAGAGUCCUGGAAGCCUUCAUGAACUUCCAAGCAUAUGUUACUAACCAGUACAAUGCCACUGUGAAGAUUCUGAGGUCUGAUAAUGGAGGAGAAUACACUAGCAAUGCUUUCAAGAGUCAUCUUGCAAAGCAUGGGAUUGUGCAACAAACUAGCUGUCCUUACACACCACAACAAAAUGGGGUGGCUGAGAGGAAGAACAGACAUUUGAUGGAGGUUGCGAGAUCAAUAAUGUUCCACAUGAAUGUCCCUAAGAGGUUUUGGAGUGAUGCUGUUCAGACUGCUUGCUAUCUCAUCAAUAGAGUGCCAACCCGUGUCUUGAAGAAACUGUCUCCCUUUGAAGUAUUAAACAAGGCCAAGCCACACAUUGAUCAUUUGAGAGUCUUUGGGUGCUUAUGUUAUGUGAUGAUUCCCGGAGAAAGAAGGAACAAGCUAGAAGCAAAGAGUACUAAAGCUAUGUUCAUUGGGUACUCAAUCACUCAGAAAGGCUACAAAUGUUAUGAUCCAAUAACUAGGAGGGUUAUGGUAUCUAGAGAAGUGAAGUUUGUUGAGUCUAAAGGGUAUUAUGAGGAGAAGAAAUGGGAAGACCUAGAGGAUAUGUCCCGAGCUCCAUCAGAGAAGGCAACAACAUUGAGGGUGUUGUUGGAGAGGCUAGGGAUAGGAUUAUCCCAAGAUCAGGAACCAGGAAGAACAGGACCUUCUAAUCAAGCUGGAGAAGCUGGAGGAACAACUCCUCUUGAUCAUGAGAGGGGGAAUGGAUCUGAAUCAGGGGAGCAGGAGCAUAACCAAGAGGAUUCAGGUCAGCAUGAUCAGGAGGAGACACAGGAAGUAGAGAGUGGAGCUCAGUCAGGUGGAAAUGAGCAGGGAGAAUCUAUUGGUUUAAGAGAGGAAGCACAAGAGAAUGUUCAGGCUGAAGAACAGGUUGAGACCUUGCGGAGGAGCACAAGGAUAAGGAGGGAUCCUUCCAACUGGGUAAACACGAGAGUGUACUACAAUGCCCAGGCUGUGGAGCAUCCCUCUCAAGCCGUGUGUUCCUUUGCUGAGUUUCCAGAAGAGCACAUGGUGUUUAUGUGUAACUUGGAUGAGAAUGAGAUACCAAGAUCUUAUGAAGAAGCUAUGAAGCACAAGGUUUGGAGAGAUUCAGUAGGAGAUGAAAGGGAUGCAAUGAUCAGGAAUGAUACUUGGUAUGAGAGUGAGUUACCUAAAGGGAAGAAGGCAGUUUCAAGCAGAUGGAUCUUCACCAUCAAGUACCUUGCAAAUGGGGAGAUAGAUAGGCGCAAGACUAGGCUGGUUGCAAGAGGAUUUACACAGACUUAUGGGGAAGAUUACAUUGAUACUUUUGCACCAGUGGCCAAGCUUCACACAAUUCGAAUUGUGUUAUCUAUUGCAACAAACUUGGAGUGGGAUUUGUGGCAAAUGGAUGUGAAGAAUGCUUUCUUGCAAGGUGAACUUGAAGAUGAAGUAUACAUGCAUCCACCUCCUGGUCUUGAGCAUCUAGUAAAGCCAGGGAAUGUUUUGAGAUUGAAGAAAGCAAUAUAUGGGUUGAAACAGUCACCUAGAGCUUGUUACAGGAAGCUGAGUACAACACUCAAUGGGAGAGGCUUUAGGAAGUCUGAACUAGAUCACACUCUCUUCACUUUGACAGGACCUUCAGGGAGCAUUGUGAUUCUAGUGUAUGUGGAUGAUUUGAUUAUCACAGGAAGUGAUAAGGCAGGGAUUCAGGCUACUAAGGAGUUUCUCAAAUCUGUGUUUGACAUCAAGGAUUUGGGAGAGAUGAAGUAUUUUCUGGGCAUUGAGAUAUGCAGAUCAAAGGAGGGUUUGUUUAUGUCUCAAAGGAAGUAUACUUUGGAUAUGAUGAAGGAGACUGAUGUGCUUGGAGGAAAGAUAGCUAAGACACCCCUUGAGGAGGGAUAUAAAGUUCUGCGUGAGGGGGAGGUUGAAGAGAAGCAGCUGUUUGAAGAUCCUAAGCUAUACAGGAAGAUGGUUGGCAAGCUGAUCUACUUGACCAUCACCAGACCAGAUAUAUGUUUUGCUGUGAACCAAGUGAGUCAGCAUAUGCAGGCACCAAAGGUCCAUCACUGGAAGAUGGUUGAUAGGAUACUGAGGUAUCUGAGUGGGACGACUGGACAAGGGGUUUGGAUGGGUUGUAAUGGCAGUACAGAAGUGGUUGGGUAUUGUGAUGCUGAUUGGGCAGGAGAUAGAGUGGACAGGAGAUCAACUACGGGGUAUUGUACAUUCAUUGGAGGAAACUUGGUUACUUGGAAGAGUAAGAAGCAGAAGGUUAUCUCUUGUUCAAGUGCUGAAGCUGAGUAUAGAGCCAUGCUGAAGCUGACAAACGAGUUGGUGUGGAUCAAGGGGAUCUUGAAGCAUCUAGAGAUUGAGCAGAGUACUCCUAUGACUAUGCAUUGUGACAAUCAAGCAGCUAUCCACAUUGCCUCCAACUCAGUGUUUCAUGAGAGAACAAAGCACAUAGAGGUGGAUUGUCAUAAGGUGAGGCAGAUGAUUAUCUUAGGAGUGAUUCUGCCAUGUUAUACAAGAAGUGAAGAUCAGCUUGCAGAUGUGUUUACUAAGGCAGCGAGAUUAAAGACAAUGGAGUCCAUACUAUCCAGGCUUGGACUCAUUGAUCUUACUCCCAGGAGCUGAGCCCCUUAACCAUGGAGUCUCCACUCUUUUUCCCUCAUCAAAGUUUUAUCCCAAUGGGUUUUCUUUGGUGAGGUUUUUAAUGAGGGAGGUCUUCAUGGUUUCCAAGCUUGACUUGUUCCACAUGGUCAAGCUUGAGGGGGAGUGUUGAGAUGAGGUAAUAAAGAGUGACUACAUUGAUAGAGAAAGAGGAUUGAGACAGACAGUACCUUUGGAGUUACCACAGUAACUUUGGUUUUACUGUGGUAACUAAGUUAAAGCUGGGAAAGUUACCUUGGCUCACAUUGGAGAGUAAGCCACGACCAAGAGCUGUAUGGAUAAGGGAGGAGCAGUCUGGAUAAGGUUUCCUCACAGCUAGAGAGGCUGGAGACAGGCUGUAAAGUAGACAGCAUCUAGUAAAAGAUGCCAAAGGGAUCAAGCAUGUGAAGACUCCCAUUGGCUGCUUUUGGAUGGCUCUCUUUGACUACACAUGCCCUGAACCUCUACCUUAUCUGAUUGAUUUCGAAAUUGAUUGUCUCUCUCAUAUAAGUAUGUUGUAAACCUCAUCUUUAUUAAUUAAUGGAGUUUUGAGUCUCUCUCUCUUUAUUCUCUCUCUAAAAUCUCUUAAUCUCUUUAAUCUUUUCAUCUGAUUAUCCCUGAUUGGUUGAAUCAUGCUCUAAUACACAAAAGUGUAUACUUGUAGUAUGUGUGUGUGGAUAAUCUCCAAUGGAGAAUGAUUAGAGCUUGUUUUAGGUGAUUUAGAAGAGAGAUUGAUGAGAGUGUAUAAGAGAAUUAGGAACAGAGAUUAAGAGACUUAAGAGACUGAGAGAAUAAGUGUUUCAGAUUCAUGAAGGAGAAGGGAAACCCCCUUACUCACUUAAGAGUUACAAAACAUCACUUAUGAGCUUAUAUAUGCUCUUUACAACUUGCAAUCAUAAACCUAAAUCUAAGGGCUGUUAUAACUUGAAUUUAAAUGAAUGGAUGAGAUGGAAAGAUGGUCUUGGUCGUGGCUGGCUCUUCCUGAUGGAUAAUUGGUCCAUUUGAAUCUGGUCAAGGGAAGGCUGGCUCCUUAUUGGCUAGCUAAAGGCUCCCAUGAAUCUGCCCACUUCUUUUGCUAGAUACAUGGUUUCCUUUUGCUUUUACUUUACAGCAAGGGACUCUCCUUUCCAGCCUGUCACUCGCCAGCCUCUCCUUUGUCUUCUUCUCUUAAGAGUUUCACCAGCCUAUCCUUUGCCUUCUUCUCUUAAGAGUUUUGUCUUCUUCUCUUAAGAGUUUUGUGUUCUCUUACUGUGGUUGUUGAGAAGAGGUGAUAAAGAGUGGGUACAUUGAUAGAGGAAGAGAAAUGGGGCAGUCAGUAACGUUGGAGAUUUACCACAUUAACUUUAGUUUUACUGUGGUAACUAAGGUAUAACUUUGGGAAGUUACCUUUCAAUCAUUUGGAGAGUGAAGCACGUCCAAGGAGAGUCUGGAUAAGGAAGGAGCAAUCUGGAUAAGGAAGAAGCAUUCUGGAUAAGGUCUGGUCAUAGCUGGAAAGGUAAAACACCUUUACAGCCUGUCCAAGCAUGUGAGAACACCCAUUGGCUGCUUUUGGAUGGCUCUCCUUGACUCCACACGUUCCUGAUCUCCUCUGACCCUAUGAUUUCGAAUUGUAUCUUGUAUCACUCAUAUAAAUGAGAUUUUAGAGAGUAGAAUAGGUAUUGAGAGAUUAAGAGAGAUUUGGUAAGAGAUUAAGAGAAGUUUAGAAGAGAUUGUGAAAGAAAUGGAGAGAUUAUGUGUGAUCCAUGAUGAACAAGAGAGAGACUAGAGAGAGAGUAACAUAAUCCGCAUCAUCUUAUUGAUCAGUGAGUGUUUACAAUAUAUAGGAGUGUGAUACUAGGGUUUAAGAAGAGACUAAGCAUGUGAGGUCAAAGCUAAGGGAGCCUUUAAUUUGAACCGGACCAAUGAGCCUCUCCACACGCGUGGUCACUAUGCUAAAAGUGAACCUUAUCCUUCCAGCCUGUGCCAGCCUGUAGAGACGCUCUUCCUCUAUCCAUCAACGGUCAUAAGCCUUCUUUGGUCGAGGUAAAACAUGAUCCGAACGUGAACUUCUUCUCGCGGUAACACUUCUUUACCGCAUGGUCGAUACCGUCUGUACGGCCGUACGGCCAUGGUACGGACCUGUACGGACCAGUACGGACGGUUCUCCCUAAGGCCAAUCCUUCUCCUCUACUCAACAUCACAACCUCUUCAACCCUGAACAACUCUCCUCAUAUUCCUCAGCUCAUCUCAACACUCCCCCUCAAGCUUGACCAUGUGGAACAAGUCAAGCUUGGAAGGAUCAUGAGCUCCCCCUCAUUAAAAACCUCAUCAAAGAAAACCCAUUGGGACAAAACUCUGAUGAGGGAAAAAGAGUAAGGACCUCAUGAUCAGGAGAGUGUAUAGAUCAGCCCUUAGGCGAAAGAUCAAGGAGUCCCAACCUUAUGUGAAUUGACUCCAUUGUCUUUUGCCUAGCCGCCUUAGUGAAAACAUCUGCCAACUGAUCCUCACUCCUUGUGUAGCACGGCAGUAUCACUCCCAAGACUAUCAUCUGCCUCACUUUAUGACAGUCCACUUCAAUAUGCUUGGUUCUUUCAUGGAACACCGAGUUUGUGGCUAUGUGAAUGGCUGCUUGAUUGUCACAAUGCAUGGUCAUUGGUGUUGCUUGCUCAAUCUCCAAGUGCUUCAGUAUUCCUUUAAUCCAUACCAACUCAUUUGUGAGCUUUAGCAUUGCUCUAUACUCAGCCUCGGCACUUGAGCAUGACACCACCUUUUGCUUCUUACUCUUCCAAGUAACCAUGUUUCCACCAAUGAAUGUGCAAUAGCCGGUUGUAGAUCUUCUAUCUGUUCUGUCUCCAGCCCAAUCUGCAUCACAAUAUCCCACUGCUUCAGUGCUCCCAUUACAACCCAUCCAUAUACCAAGCCCUUGAGUUCCAUUCAGAUACAUGAGAACUCUUUCUACCAUGCGCCAGUGAUGCUCUCUUGGAGCUUGCAUAUGCUGACUCACUUGGUUCACAGCAAAACAGAUGUCUGGCCUAGUAAUGGUUAGAUAGAUCAGCUUCCCCACAAGCUUCCUGUAUAGCUUUGGAUCAUGAAAUGCCUUACUAUCUUCUAGCUCCCCCUCACGUGGAGCUUUAUACCCAUCCUCCAUGGGCAUCUUGGCUGUCUUUCCUCCAUACGCACCAGCCUCCUUCAACAGAUCCAAGAUAUAUUUCCUUUGUGAGAUGAACAGCCCUUCUUCUGAUCUGCACAGCUCAAUUCCAAGGAAGUACUUCAUUUCUCCCAAGUCUUUGAUGUCAAACACAGAUUUCAGAAACUCCUUGGUCUCCUUGAUUCCCACCUUAUCACUGCCUGUGAUAACUAUGUCAUCCACAUAUACAAGAAGCACAACAAUGCCUGCAGGUGUAGUAAGAGUGAAGAGAGUGUGAUCAAGCUCUGAUUUCCUGAAGCCUCUUCCAUUUAGAGUUGUGCUCAGCUUGUGAUACCAUGCCCUUGCUGAUUGCUUUAACCCAUAGAUGGCCUUCUUCAACCUCAGCACAUUCCCUGGUUUCACCAUCCCUUCUAGGCCCGGAGGUGGUAGCAUGUAGACUUCAUCUUCCAACUCUCCUUGGAGAAAUGCAUUCUUCACAUCCAUUUGCCAAAGAUCCCACCCAAGAUUAGUAGCCACUGAUAGGACUAUUCGAAUGGUGUGUAGCUUUGCAACUGGAGCAAAUGUAUCAAUGUAGUCUUCUCCAUAUGUCUGAGUGAACCCUCUUGCUACCAGUCUAGUCUUCUUCCUCUCAAUUGACCCAUCAGCCUUGUACUUGACUGUAAAGAUCCAUCUACUAGACACAGCCUUCUUCCCUUUUGGUAGUUCACUCUCAUACCAUGUAUCAUUCUUUAUCAUAGCUCCUGCCUCAGCUCCUACUGAUUCCUUCCAUUCUUCAUCUUCCAUUGCCUCUUCAUAGCUUCUUGGAAUGUGAUUCUUAUCUAAGUUUACCAUAAAUGCACAAUGUGCUUCUGGAUAUUGAGCAAAGGAACACACGGCCUGAGUAGGAUGCUUCACAGCUUGGGCAUUGUAGUACACUCUCGUGUUUACCCAACUAGAAGGAUCCCUUCUCAGCCUUGUACUCCUUCUCAACACUGGUCCUUCUUGCGCCAUCUCUUGUUCUUCUUCUACUUGUGGAGUGACUGCUUCAGUCUGUACUUCAGCUUCAGCUCUAGCCUCUCCUUGUCUCUGACCUUCUUCAUUCUGACUUUCAUUCAGUUCUUCCCUUGCUGAUCCUUCUCCACUUUGGACAGGAGAAUCAGUUCCUCUGUUUCCUAGCUCACCGGCCUCUUCUAAGCCUUGGUCCUCUAGUUCAGAUACUGAUUCACUUCCCCCCUCAUGUGCAAAGUGGGAUGGUUCUUCUGCUGCAGCUGGAGUAGGUUCUGGACGCCUACUCUGAUCCUGGGACACUCCAAUUCCGAGCCCCUCUAGAAUGUUUCUCAAGCAAGCAGCUCUUUCUGAUGGCUGGGAUAGAUCCUCCAGGUCUUCCCAUGUCUGCUCAUCAUAGUAUCCUUUCUCUUCCAUGAAUCUGACAUCCCUUGACACUAGGACUCUCCUAGCUGUAGGAUCAUAGCAUUUGUAGCCCUUCUGUGAAGUGGAAUACCCAAUCAUCAUGGCCUUGGUGCUCUUUGCUUCUAGUUUGUUUCUCUGCUCGCCUGGUACAAGAACAUAACACACGCAUCCAAAGGUCCUCAGGUGAUCCAAGACUGGCCUGCUCUUGUUAAGUACCUCAAAUGGAGAUUGAUCUGCCAAGAUCCUGGUUGGUAUCCUGUUGAUCAGAUAGCACGCAGUCAUCACAGCAUCACUCCAAUACCUCUUGGGAACCCCUUUGUGGAACAUCAUAGACCGGGACACCUCCAUGAGAUGUCUGUUCUUCCUUUCAGCAACUCCAUUCUGCUGUGGAGUGUAUGGGCAGCUAGUCUGGUGAAGAAUCCCAUGUUGAGCAAGGUGAUCACGAAAUGCAUGCCCAGUAUACUCCCCACCAUUAUCAGACCUGAAAAUCUUAAUCUUGGCAUGAUAUUGGUUAGUCACAUAGGCUUGAAAUUUUUUAAAUGCAUCAAGGACUCUAUCUUUAGUUUUAAUCAAUGUUAACCAGGUGUAUUUGGAUUUUUCAUCAAUGAAUGUGACAUAAUACUUGUAAUCAUCCCUAGAUAAGCAAGGUGCAGUCCAAACAUCAGAGUGAAUUAAAUCAAAGCAGUUUGCAUAAAGAGUAGAUGAUCUUUGAAAAACAGUCUUACAGUGUUUACCCAAAAUACAAGCCUCACAAUCAUUAUUUUUAAACAUGACACCUGGUAACAUAAUGCUUAAAGCCCUAACAUGUGGAUGGCCUAGCCUAGCAUGCCACAGAGCAUCAAUACUUAAGGAAGAAACAGAACUAAACGAGAAACAAGAACUAGAAAUAGGUGCAAGGUCUUCAAUCAUGUAAAGAUCUCCCUUGGUUGCUCCUUGCCCAAUCAACUUACUGCUCUUAAUAUCCUGAAACUUAACAUCAUUAUGACUGAAAAUAACAUUGCAUUGAAGAUCAGUAGUGCAUUUCUUAACUGAUAAGAGAUUAGAGGUGAACUCAGGCAUGUAAAAAGCUUUUGAAUCCUUAUUAAACAAGUUCAGUUUACCAAUGCCUCUAAUGGGAAUUCUAUCUCCAUUUGCAAUCAUAACAUGACCAAGUGCAGGUUCUAUGUCUUUUAUCAGAUUGUUAUCACUAAUCAUGUGAUGAGAUGCACCAGAAUCAAUUAUCAAUGGUUUAUGCAAGCUCCUAGCAGUAUUGAUUCUAGAUGUUUCAUUUUCAGCUUUCAGGCUCUUAACUACUCCUAACAAUCUAUCAGUUAUGCUAGUAUGAGCAGUAGCAGUACAUGAGGUUUUAAAAAUGUCUAACAGCUUAUCAGAGAUACUAGGUAAUGUAUGAGCAGAGUAUGAGUAUCCAAGAGUGUUGCCUAGCAUUUUACCAGACUCCUUGAGGGCUCGGAUGAAUGCCUCAAAGUCAGCCUUGGUGAUCACUUCCUGAGAAGUUAGAACCAUGCCUUCACUUUCACCCGCCUUGACAUUUGGACUAGCCCCUGAUGAGCCAGCACCACUUGCUUCAGCAGAAAGGUGAGCCUUAGCUUCUCUAUCCUUGUUGAACUUGCUUGGCCUGAGGUGUGGAUGUAGGAUCCAGCACUGACUCUUCUUAUGCCCUUGCCGCUUGCAAUGCUCACAGCUUCCCUCAUACUUCUCAUACUUCCUUCCAUCUCCACGGUAUGCUGCCUUGUUUGCUUGCGCCUCUUCUGCUUUAUGAGCCGUGGACAUUCCCUUCUUGCCUCCAAACAACCCAAGAGAGCCUUCCUCCUUCUGAAGUUGUGCACAAACCUCCUCCAUGGAUGGGAGAGUAGGUGAUCUCAGGAUAUGCUUGAUCACAUCCUGGUAGCUUUCAUCUAGAGUCAUCAAUAGCCCAAACACCUGAUCUUGCUCUCUCCUCUCAAUGAGCGAUUCCUCAUCAGUUGUGUUGGGUCUAAGACUCUCAAGUUCGGACCACAACGCUCCAAACUUCCCCAUGUGCUUGGUGAGAUCUUCUCCAUCUUGCCUCAAGACACUGAUGGUUUGCUUCAGAUCAAACACCCGACUUAUGUUGGACUUGUUUCCAUACCUCUUAUGGAGCAUGUCCCAAAGGCGCUUAGGAGUCUCAAAGUGCACGUAAGCUUCAAGUAUGGGGAGCUCCAGAGAGGCAUGGAGCACAGACAGCACCAUCAAAUCCUCUUGGACCCAUCUCUUUGCUUCAGCUACCGCAAGAGUCUUCCCGUCGCCUUCUUCUUCAUCUUCUUUGGCCACUGGCUCCGGACCAUCAUCUGUGAUGUGGUUCCACAGCCCUAGCCUUCCAAUGGUAGUCCUCACUAACUGGGACCACAUCAAGUAGUUCGAGCCUCCCUUCAGUGCAACCGGAACUGUCACCAGUUUGCUAAAGUUGGUCGUCUCCAUCUCCUCUUCUUUAUCACACAAGAACAAACUCGCAAAUGUAAAGAAAGGAACAAGGAUCUCUCAAUACCAAAGCCAACCUGGCUCUGAUACCAUGAGAUUUUAGAGAGUAGAAUAGGUAUUGAGAGAUUAAGAGAGAUUUGGUAAGAGAUUAAGAGAAGUUUAGAAGAGAUUGUGAAAGAAAUGGAGAGAUUAUGUGUGAUCCAUGAUGAACAAGAGAGAGACUAGAGAGAGAGUAACAUAAUCCGCAUCAUCUUAUUGAUCAGUGAGUGUUUACAAUAUAUAGGAGUGUGAUACUAGGGUUUAAGAAGAGACUAAGCAUGUGAGGUCAAAGCUAAGGGAGCCUUUAAUUUGAACCGGACCAAUGAGCCUCUCCACACGCGUGGUCACUAUGCUAAAAGUGAACCUUAUCCUUCCAGCCUGUGCCAGCCUGUAGAGACGCUCUUCCUCUAUCCAUCAACGGUCAUAAGCCUUCUUUGGUCGAGGUAAAACAUGAUCCGAACGUGAACUUCUUCUCGCGGUAACACUUCUUUACCGCAUGGUCGAUACCGUCUGUACGGCCGUACGGCCAUGGUACGGACCUGUACGGACCAGUACGGACGGUUCUCCCUAAGGCCAAUCCUUCUCCUCUACUCAACAUCACAACCUCUUCAACCCUGAACAACUCUCCUCAUAUUCCUCAGCUCAUCUCAACAAUAAAGCCUUGUAAACCUUAUUGUUAAUAAUUAAUGGAGUUUUGAGUAUUCUCUCUUGUUCUUUAUUCUCUUAGUCUCUCUUAAUCUCCUAAUCUCAUACAAACUACACAAACCAUCUCUUGAUAUUCAUUCAUCACUCUACAUACACAAAAGUGUAUAUGGUAUCAGAGCCAGGUUGCGCAAAGGGGAGAGGGUGUUUGAUUAUGAUUUUCGAAAUCUGAGUUUCUUGAGGUGUUCUUGAGGUGUUCUUGGUGUUCUUGAUGUGUUCUUGGUGCUCUUUGGUGUGCUUGAGAUCGAAUUGAGUCUGUGGAGAGUUUCUGAUGGAUUCAAAUGAGUUAAGCAUGGUGGUGGAGACAAGAUCAAGAAGUGAAGAGAAGAAAGAGAGAGAAAACGAGUGUGCUUGGUCAAGCUGCUGGAUAAAGACAGCUUUUGAAAGCUGUGGGAUUUGGAGUAAUCAUGAAAAGGAAGAACCUUUAAAGGUGAGAGCUGCUGAGAAAAAUCAGACAGCAAGUUUGGAGGAGAUUCAAGUAAAGGUGGAACCUUUAAGGGAGGUAGCUGCUGAAGAAGGUCAGACAGCAAGGUUGGAGGAGAUUCAAGUAAAGGUGGAGCCUUUAAAGGAGGUAGCUGCUGAAGAAGGUCAGACAGCAAGGUUGGAGGUUCAUGAGGCCAAGGGCGUGAUCUAUAGUCUAAGACAAGUGAAGAACGAGUUGUAUCAGCUUGUUGGGAGGCUGAGAGAAGUAGAAUCAGAGUUGAGUAUGGUAAAAACUCAUACAGCAAGUCCGAGUUGGUGUCAAGGAAGGAGGAAGCAAGAUGUGAUCUUUGGCUUUCUUAUGGGAGAGAUAUGUGAGCUGGUUGAACACACGUGUGAUGUGUGGGAGAUAAACAAGAAGCCAGAUAGAUGGAAGAGAGGUACAAGCUGCAAGAAGGGAAAGUUGAGAAAACUUUCUAAGAUGUGGGUCAUGAUGAGCAGAUUAUGGAGAAAGGAUAUCAAGGAGAGUAUGCAAGUAGGAGAAUGCUUGUACUCAGCUUACAUUGGAGAAUCUGUAGAGAGCAGUGGGGUUAUGAGGAAGCUAGAGUCCAAAGGAGCGGAUGAGCCUGUCACAAAGGAGGAAUGGGAUGAGUUUGUCAAGUAUGUGUAUGCUUUGGCUACGACCCGGAGACAAGGUGCUCCUGCCAAAGCAUCCACAUCCAACAAACCCAUCAUUGUUGAUUCUGGAGCAAGUCAUCACAUGAUUAGUGACAGAAGCUUAAUGAGUGAUGUAAAGAAAGCUACUGGAGGUGUGAUGAUAGCUAAUGGUGAUAGGAUUUCAAUAGAAGGAGUUGGAAAGCUCAAGCUAUUUGAUAAAGAUUCAGAUGCCUUCUACAUGCCACAGUUUGCUUCAAAUCUACUAUCUGUGAGAAAAGCCACGAUUGAUCUUGGCUGUCAAGUAGUAUUCAGGCCAGAUGAUGUUGAGUUCCAAGAUUUGAAGACUGGAAAGGUCAUUGGGAGAGGAGACAGCAAGAAUAAUCUAUACCAGCUCCAAUUGGCUAAGAUCUCUAAACCCUUUGAUUCUAUGUGUUUGAGUAGUACUUAUGAGAAGAUUGAUAGUAUUACUUGGCAUGCUAGAUUGGGACAUCCUCAUGCUCGUGCUAUUGAAUUGAUAAUUCCUAAUAUGUCAUUUAAUCACUUGGAGUGUGAAGCAUGCAUAUUAGGAAAGCAUUGUAGGACUGUUUUUCCAACAUCAGAAACUACUUAUGAGCAUUGCUUUGAUCUAGUUCAUUCAGAUGUGUGGACUGCACCUUGUUUGUCUAGAGAUAGCCAGAAGUACUUUGUGACAUUCAUUGAUGAGAAGUCUAAGUAUACUUGGCUUACAUUGCUUCCAUCUAAAGAUAGGGUGCUAGAAGCAUUUAUGAACUUCCAAGCAUAUGUAUCUAAUCAAUACAAUGCUACUGUGAAGGUACUGAGAUCAGAUAAUGGAGGUGAAUACAUCAGCAAUGCCUUCAAGAGUCAUCUAGCCAAGCAUGGGAUUGUGCAUCAGACUAGCUGCCCUUAUACACCACAGCAGAAUGGUGUAGCUGAGAGGAAGAACAGGCAUUUGAUGGAGGUUGCUAGAUCGAUGAUGUUUCAUGCAAAUGUCCCAAAACGUUUUUGGAGUGAUGCUGUGCAGACUGCUUGCUAUCUCAUCAACCGGGUUCCAACCAAGAUAUUGAAGAAUCUGUCUCCAUUUGAAGUGUUGAACAAGAGCAAACCUGUCAUUGAUCACCUACGUGUCUUUGGGUGUGUAUGCUAUGUCAUGGUUCCAGGAGAGCAGAGAAACAAGCUGGAGGCAAAGAGUACUAAGGCUAUGUUCAUUGGUUAUUCUAUCACUCAGAAGGGGUACAAGUGCUAUGAUCCUGAAGCAAGGAGGGUGAUGGUAUCUAGAGAAGUGAAGUUUGUUGAAACAAAAGGUUAUUAUGAAGAAAAGGAGUGGGAAAAUCUGAAGGAUUUGUCUCAAGCUCCAUCUGAUAAGGCAACAAUACUGAGAGUGUUGUUGGAGAAGCUCGGGAUAGGGUUAUCCCAGGAUCAGGAACCCGGAAGGAGAGAGCCUUCCAAUCAGACUGGUGGAGCUGGAAGAACAACUCCUCUUGAUCAUGAGAGGGGGAAUGGAACUGAAUCUGGUGAGCAAGAGCAAAACCAAGAGGAUUCAGGUCUUCAUGAUCAAGAUACAUCACAAGAAGUUGAGAACAAUGUUCAGUCUAGUGGAGAAGUGGAUGAGGUUCAGUCUAGUAGAGAAGUGGAUGAGGUUCAGUCUAGUAGAGAAGAACAAGUUGGACCAGCCGGUUCAGAAGAAGAGCAAGUGGAGCCGGCUAGUGUGCAAACUGAAGAUCAGGUUCAAGCUUUGAGGAGGAGCACAAGGAUAAAGAGGGAUCCUUCCAACUGGGUAAACACGAGAGUGUACUACAAUGCCCAGGCUGUGGAGCAUCCUUCUCAAGCCGUGUGUUCCUUUGCUGAGUUUCCAGAGGAGCAUUAUGCCUUUAUGAUUAGUCUGGAUGAGAGUUAUGUACCAAGGACUUAUGAAGAAGCUAUGUUAGACAAGGAAUGGAAAGAAUCAGUGGGAGCUGAAGCAGGUGCUAUGAUCAAAAAUGAUACAUGGUAUGAGAGUGAGCUGCCUAAGGGAAAGAAGGCUGUAUCUAGUAGAUGGAUCUUCACAAUCAAGUAUCUGGCAAAUGGACAGAUUGAUAGGAAGAAGACCAGAUUGGUUGCAAGAGGAUUUACACAGACCUAUGGAGAGGAUUACAUUGAUACCUUUGCACCAGUAGCUAAGCUGCACACAGUUCGGAUUGUGUUGUCCAUUGCAACAAACUUGGGGUGGGAUUUGUGGCAAAUGGAUGUGAAGAAUGCUUUCCUGCAAGGUGAACUUGAAGAUGAAGUAUACAUGCAUCCGCCUCCUGGUCUUGAGCAUCUAGUAAAGCCAGGGAAUGUUUUGAGGUUGAAGAAGGCAAUAUAUGGGCUGAAACAAUCACCUAGAGCUUGGUACAGGAAGCUGAGUACAACACUCAAUGGGAGAGGGUUUAGGAAGUCUGAAUUAGAUCACACUCUCUUCACCUUGACAGGACCUUCAGGGAUCAUUGUGAUACUGGUAUAUGUGGAUGAUUUGAUUAUCACAGGGAGUGAUAAGGCUGGGAUUAAAGCCACUAAAGAGUUCCUCAAGUCUGUGUUUGAUAUCAAAGACUUGGGAGAGAUGAAGUAUUUCUUGGGGAUUGAGAUAUGCAGAUCCAAGGAGGGUUUGUUUAUGUGUCAAAGGAAGUAUACAAUGGAUAUGCUGAAGGAGACUGAUGUACUUGGAGGAAAGGUAGCCAAGACACCUCUUGAAGAGGGGUAUAAGGUCUUACGUGAGGGGGAGGUUGAAGAGAACCAGCUGUUUGAGGAUGCUAAGCUGUAUAGGAAGAUGGUUGGCAAGCUAAUCUACUUGACCAUUACCAGGCCAGAUAUAUGCUUUGCUGUGAAUCAAGUGAGUCAACAUAUGCAGGCGCCAAAGGUCCAUCACUGGAAGAUGGUUGAUAGGAUACUAAGAUAUCUGAGUGGGACGGCUGGACAAGGAGUUUGGAUGGGCUGUAAUGGCAGUACAGAAGUGGUUGGGUAUUGUGAUGCUGAUUGGGCAGGAGAUAGAGUGGACAGGAGAUCAACUACUGGGUAUUGUACAUUCAUUGGAGGGAACUUGGUUACUUGGAAGAGUAAGAAGCAGAAGGUUAUCUCUUGUUCAAGUGCUGAAGCUGAGUAUAGAGCCAUGUUGAAGCUGUUGAGUUGAGCUGAGUAUAUGUAUGAAGAGCUAAGGAGUUGAAGAGGAAAGGAGAUGAGGAAGCUUAGGGAGUUUAGGGAGAGCAUGGUACGGACGUCCGUACAAGGCCGUACAAGCCGUACAGUCCGUACCAUCCAAGCCUCAACCUAAACUUACCUUGCACAAGUGAAACGGUAACUAUGGAAGAGUUACUCAAGUGGAAAAGGAUCAGACCGUUUAAGAGAUAAGGGACGCGCAUUGCCAGGCUGUGACAGGCUGGAAAGCUAAAGCAACUUUAGUCCAAGAUGCCAUAAGCGUGUGAUGCCUCUUAGUGGUUAAUUUGAAUCCUUUACCUUGACUUCACAUGCUUACUCCUUAAACUUGCGAUUUGUAAACCCUAGUAGCUCUCCUAUAUAUUGUAACUCAUCAACACUAAUAAAGAUUAUGCAGUUUGAGUCUCUCUAAUCUCUUAGACACUAUGGUUCUCUCUUAGACUCUAAACGGUUCUUUCUAGUCUCUUAAUCUUUCACAAACUUCUCUUAAUUACUUCUUAAACACUCUCUUUAUUCUGAUUACUCUAAGGAUCUCUUAAUCUCAUAUGGUAUCAGAGCCAGGUUCAUUUGAAUCUGGGGUUUUAUCUUUAGAGAGUCACAAGCUAACGGCUUUGAAGCUACACACGAGUAGUCUUGAAGGUGUUGAAGCCGUGAUAAGUUUGAGUUGAAGCUGUGCUACGUUCUGUGUGUUUGCGUGAUUCUAGACUCAAGGUUGGUGUGUACGAGAUUCAAGAUUCAAGUGUUCAAGUCAAGCAAAGAUGGAACAUGGGAUGAACAUGAGGAUGAAGGUAGCGGUUACUUUCAAAGGUAGCAACUACCUGGUGUGGUCUCGGAUGGUGAAGACUGCGGUGGGAAGUAAGGGUUUGUGGGGGCACAUCACAACAGGGGAGGCUCUGAAACUCAUUACUCAGGGAGGAGAUCAAGAAGAGGUCUCCAAUGACGCGGCUGUGGAGAAAUGGCAACAAGAAGACAUGCUGGUGAUGACGGUUCUACACGCAUCCUUGGACCCAGCUAUCUUGGAUGCCUACAGCUACUGUGAAUCAGCCAAGGAGCUGUGGGACACGCUGAAGAAGGUGUAUGGGAACACUUCCAACCUCAGCCGUGUGUUUGAAGUGAAGCUAGCGAUCAACCGUCUUGCACAAGAGGACAUGGAGUUCACUAAGCACUUGGGGAGGUUCAGGUCCUUAUGGUCAGAGCUGGAGAUGCUGAGGCCGAGCACAACUGAUCCAGAUCAGUUGAAUGAGAGGCGCGAGCAAGACAAGGUCUUUGGGUUGCUUCUCACACUGAACCCGGCCUACACUCAACUCAUCCAGCACAUGCUAAGGUCAGACAAGCUUCCGGACCUUGAGGAGGUGUGCGCGCAAAUCCAAAGGGAGCAGGGAUCUAUGGGGUUGUUUGGAGGAAAGGGGGAGCUCUCUCUCGCCAAUCAAGCAGCUCAUGAGGACUCAACCGAGACUCCACAAGCAAACAAGGCAUCUCACGGGAAGUAUGAGGACAGGAAGUUCAAUGGCAACUGUGAUCAUUGCAAGAAGCAUGGUCAUAAGAAGAGCCAAUGCUGGAUACUACACCCACACCUCAAGCCGGCCAAGUUCAUGAAGGAGCGUGAGGGAAGGGCAAAUGUGACUGAAGGUUCAAGUGGAGCUGGCACCAGCAAGGCGAGUGAAGCAGAUGGGCUUGGAGGCAAUGAUGGGAAUGGGAAGUCUAUGGUGGCUUACACAGGCGCCUCAAGCUCACGCAGCAAUGAUGACUACAUCAAGAGAUCAGACCUUGACGCUCUCUUCAAAAUGCUAAAGGAAAACGGUAACACUUAUGGUUAUUCCUUUGGAGCUUCUAUGAUUGCAUAUAAGGAUGAUCACUUGAUUAGAGAACUAGUAGAACGGUUAGAAGCUAGGAAUGAGUAUAGAAAUGCUCACAUUGCUAGAACUGAUAGGAUGCAUCCAUUGCUUAGUAAUCUAUGUCAUAAUGCUAAACGAGUAGGUAAACCAUUGAUUGUUGAUUCUGGUGCAUCACAUCAUAUGAUAAGUGAUGAGAACUUGAUUAAGGAUAUAGAACCUACGCAUGGGCAUGUGAUGAUAGCAAAUGGGGAUAAGAUACCUAUUAGAGGAAUAGGAAAGCUGAAGUUGUUUAACAAAGAAUCUAAAGCUUUUUACAUGCCUGAAUUCACAUCAAACCUAUUAUCUGUGAAGAAAUGUACUAAUGAUUUACAAUGCAAUGUUAUCUUUAGUCCUAAUGAUGUGAAGUUUCAGGAUAUUGAGAGCAGCAGAUUGAUUGGGAAAGGGGUGACUAAGGGAGAUCUCUAUAUGCUUGAAGAACUCACUUCUGUUCCUGAUUAUAGUUGCUCGUUUACUUCUGCUUCUUUGUUGAAUAAAAAUGCAUUGUGGCAUGCUAGAGUAGGACACCCUCAUGUUAAAGCUUUGAACUUAAUGGUACCAGGUGUUGUGUCUGAGAACAAAGAUUGUGAAGCUUGUAUUUUAGGCAAGCAUUGUAGAACUGUGUUUCAAAAGUCUACCACUGUUUAUGAUAAUUGCUUUGAUCUAAUUCAUUCAGAUGUGUGGACUGCUCCUUGCUUAUCUAGAGAUAGUUAUAAGUACUUUGUCACAUUCAUUGAUGAAAAAUCCAAAUACACCUGGUUAACCUUAAUUCAGACCAAAGAUAGGGUACUUGAUGCAUUUAGGAACUUUCAAACUUAUGUAACUAACCAUUAUCAUGCUAAGAUCAAAAUUUUGAGAUCAGAUAAUGGAGGAGAGAGUACACAAGUCAUGCAUUCAAGCAACACUUAUCACAGCAUGGGAUCCUACAUCAAACAAGCUGUCCGUAUACUCCACAGCAGAAUGGAGUGGCUGAGAGGAAGAAUAGGCAUCUCAUGGAAGUGGCAAGGUCUCUUAUGUUUCAGAGUAAUGUUCCAAAGAGAUUUUGGAGUGAUGCGGUUGCCACUGCUUGUUACUUGAUCAACAGAACUCCAACCAAGGUUCUGAAUGAGAAGGCUCCAUUUGAAGUUCUGGACAGGUACAAACCAGCUCUUGAUUACUUGCGAGUCUUUGGGUGCCUAUGCUUUGUGCUCAAACCAGGAGAGAUGAUCAACAAGCUAGAAGCAAGAAGUACUAAGGCUGUGUUCAUAGGAUACUCAGCUACACAGAAAGGAUACAAAUGCUAUGAUCCUAUAGCAAGGAGAGUUCUUGUAUCUAGAGAUGUGAAGUUCUUGGAAGAUAGAGGAUACUAUGAAGAAAAGAAUCAAGAAGACCUGAAGGACUUAACAUCAGACAAGGCAACCACCUUGCGGAUCAUCCUUGAAGGUCUUGGAAUCAGUACAUCCCAGGAUCCAAGGAAUCACGCAACUACACCUCCUGAAGUUGGUUCACCAUCCCACCUUGAUCAUGAGGGAGGAGAGGAGCAUGAGGAACCUAUGCAAGAGGCUAACCAGGAUGAAGGAGGAGUAGAGAAUGAAGGAGAAAAGAGCAUAGGCUCUGAUGGUCAUGGUCAUGAUCAUGGUGUGAGGCAAACACCUUCUCAAGAUGAAGUGGUAGAAGAACAACAGGAAGAAGAACCGGUUGUGCAGCCACUAAGAAGGAGCACAAGGAUAAGGAAGGAUCCUUCUAGCUGGGUAAACACGAGAGUGUACUACAAUGCCCAAGCUGUGGAGCAUCCUUCUCAAGCCGUGUGCUCCUUUGCUCAAUAUCCAGAAGAACAUUGUGCCUUCAUGGUUAACUUGGAUGAGAACUACAUCCCAAGAAGCUAUAAAGAAGCAAUCAUGGAUAAAGAAUGGAAGGAAUCAGUUGGAGCUGAGGCAGGAGCUUUGAUCAAGAAUAAUACAUGGUAUGAGAGUGAGUUACCAAAAGGAAAGAAGGCUGUGACCAGUAGAUGGAUAUUCACAAUCAAGUACAAAGCGGAUGGAAAGAUUGAGAGGAAGAAGUCAAGGCUAGUUGCAAGAGGUUUCACUCAAACUUAUGGAGAAGAUUACAUAGAAACCUUUGCACCAGUAGCUAAACUACACACAAUCCGGAUUGUACUAAGCUUGGCUGUGAAUCUUGGAUGGGGGUUAUGGCAAAUGGAUGUGAAGAAUGCUUUUCUACAAGGUGAACUUGAGGAUGAAGUGUAUAUGCAUCCACCUCCAGGCCUUGAACACUUAGUGAAGAGUGGGAAUGUGUUGAGACUGAAGAAAGCCAUCUAUGGGCUGAAGCAAUCACCAAGAGCUUGGUACAACAAGCUGAGCACUACUCUGAAUGGUCGAGGCUUCAAGAAGUCUGAACUAGAUCACACUCUCUUCACUCUCACGACUCCCUCAGGUAUGAUUGCACUCCUUGUGUAUGUUGAUGAUAUCAUUAUCACAGGGAGUGAUAAGGAAUGUAUCAUAGCAACCAAGGAGUUUCUUAAAUCCAUGUUUGAGAUUAAAGACUUGGGAGAAAUGAAAUACUUCCUUGGAAUUGAGAUAUGUAGAUACAAGGAGGUUUGUUCAUGUCUCAAAGGAAAUAUACACUUGAUCUUUUGAAAGGUGCAGGUGCUUAUGGAGGCAAGACAGCAAGGAUGCGUAUGGAGGAUGGCUACAAAGUCCCACGAGAGGGGGAGAUUGAAGACAGCAAACCUUAUCAGGAUCCUAAACUCUAUAGAAAACUAGUUGGCAAAUUGAUUUACCUUACUAUACCUGACAUCUGUUUUGCUGUGAAUCAGGUGAGUCAACACAUGGAAGUGCCUAAGGAGCAUCACUGGCGCAUGGUGGAGAGGAUCUUGAUGUAUCUCAACGGCUCACCUGAUCAAGGAGUAUGGAUGGGCUGCAAUGGAAGCACUGAAGUGGUGGGAUAUUGUGAUGCGGAUUGGGCUGGUGAUAGAGCAGACAGGAGAUCAACCACAGGCUGUUGCACAUUCAUUGGAGGCAACUUGGUGACUUGGAAGAGAAAGAAGCAGAAGGUAGUGUCAUGUUCAAGUGCAGAAGCCGAGUAUAGAGGCAUGCUGAAGCUUACCAACGAGUUGGUAUGGAUCAAAGGCAUCUUGAAGCACUUGGAGAUUGAUCAAGCAACUCCAAUGACAAUGCAUUGUGACAAUCAAGCUGCCAUCCACAUUGCAUCCAACUCGGUGUUUCAUGAGAGGACCAAGCACAUUGAAGUUGAUUGCCACAAGGUGAGACAGAUGAUUGUGCUAGGGGUGAUCUUGCCAUGCUAUACAAGGAGUGAAGAUCAGCUAGCGGAUGUGUUCACCAAGGCUGCAAGGCAAAAGACUAUGGAGUCCAUUCACAUCAGAUUGGGACUCAUAGAUCUUGGGAAGAGAAGGAGCUAAUCCCCUUAGCUGCAAGGUCUUUACUCUUUUUCCCUCAUCAAAGUUUUAUCCCAUUGGGUUUUCUUUGGUGAGUUUUUUAAUGAGGAAGAUCUUGUAGCUUUCCAAGCUUAGGCUUUCACAAAGCUAAGCUUGAGGGGGAGUGUUGAGUUGAGCUGAGUAUAUGUAUGAAGAGCUAAGGAGUUGAAGAGGAAAGGAGAUGAGGAAGCUUAGGGAGUUUAGGGAGAGCAUGGUACGGACGUCCGUACAAGGCCGUACAAGCCGUACAGUCCGUACCAUCCAAGCCUCAACCUAAACUUACCUUGCACAAGUGAAACGGUAACUAUGGAAGAGUAACUCAAGUGGAAAAGGAUCAGACCGUUUAAGAGAUAAGGGACGCGCAUUGCCAGGCUGGGACAGGCUGGAAAGCUAAAGCAACUUUAGUCCAAGAUGCCAUAAGCGUGUGAUGCCUCUUAGUGGUUAAUUUGAAUCCUUUACCUUGACUUCACAUGCUUACUCCUUAAACUUGCGAUUUGUAAACCCUAGUAGCUCUCCUAUAUAUUGUAACUCAUCAACACUAAUAAAGAUUAUGCAGUUUGAGUCUCUCUAAUCUCUUAGACACUAUGGUUCUCUCUUAGACUCUAAACGGUUCUUUCUAGUCUCUUAAUCUUUCACAAACUUCUCUUAAUUACUUCUUAAACACUCUCUUUAUUCUGAUUACUCUAAGGAUCUCUUAAUCUCAUAGAAGCUCACAAACGAGUUGGUGUGGAUCAAAGGGAUCUUGAAGCAUCUAGCGAUUGAGCAGAGUACUCCUAUGACUAUGCAUUGUGACAAUCAAGCAGCUAUCCACAUUGCCUCCAACUCAGUGUUUCAUGAGAGAACAAAGCACAUAGAGGUGGAUUGUCAUAAGGUGAGGCAGAUGAUUAUCUUGGGAGUGAUUCUGCCAUGUUAUACAAGAAGUGAAGAUCAGCUUGCAGAUGUGUUUACCAAGGCAGCGAGAUUGAAGACAAUGGAGUCCAUACUAUCCAGGCUUGGACUCAUUGAUCUUACUCCCAGGAGCUGAGCCCCUUAACCAUGGAGUCUCCACUCUUUUUCCCUCAUCAAAGUUUUAUCCCAAUGGGUUUUCUUUGGUGAGGUUUUUAAUGAGGGAGGUCUUCAUGGUUUCCAAGCUUGACUUGUUCCACAUGGUCAAGCUUGAGGGGGAGUGUUGAGAAGAGGUGAUAAAGAGUGGGUACAUUGAUAGAGGAAGAGAAAUGGGGCAGUCAGUAACUUUGGAGAUUUACCACAGGAACUUUAGUUUUACUGUGGUAACUAAGGUAUAACUUUGGGAAGUUACCUUUCACCCAUUUGGAGAGUGAAGCACGUCCAAGGAGAGUCUGGAUAAGGAAGGAGCAAUCUGGAUAAGGAAGAAGCAUUCUGGAUAAGGUCUGGUCAUAGCUGGAAAGGUAAAACACCUUUACAGCCUGUCCAAGCAUGUGAGAACACCCAUUGGCUGCUUUUGGAUGGCUCUCCUUGACUCCACACGUUCCUGAUCUCCUCUGACCCUAUGAUUUCGAAUUGUAUCUUGUAUCACUCAUAUAAAGCCUUGUAAACCUUAUUGUUAAUAAUUAAUGGAGUUUUGAGUAUUCUCUCUUGUUCUUUAUUCUCUUAGUCUCUCUUAAUCUCCUAAUCUCAUACAAACUACACAAACCAUCUCUUGAUAUUCAUUCAUCACUCUACAUACACAAAAGUGUAUAGUGGUAACUCUCCAAAGUUACUGUGGUAACUUUGGAGUUACUGUCUCAACCAAAUAUUCUCCAAAUGGUGUCUAAGUCCCUCCUGGACUUAAACCCAAUCUUGCACAGCCAUAAGAUCACUUCUUGACUUCUUAAGACCCUCCUGAACCUUGACAGACAAUCUCUGUAAGACUUGCCCUCUCUUUGCACUAGAACCAAACUACUCCAUACUUCUCCUUUCACUCCAUUUCUAUUCUUCAAGUUAACAUUCUAGAGCUUGCCCUAUCAUUGUACAAGCUCCAUCUUCUCUUCAGUUCAACACUCCCCCUCAAGCUUGACUUUAGGAGAUCCUAAGCCAAGCUUGGAACUCUGAAGAGUCUCCCUCAUUAAAAACCUUACAAGGAAAACCCAUUGGGACAAAACCUUGCAAGGGAAAAAGAGUAGAGCUCUCCAAAGCCUAGGGAUUGGCCAGUGAGCUCUUGUGCCUUAGAACCGGUGUGGUUGGACACAAGAAGCUCUGGAUCACGGCCUAAUAGGUGCAGCAACUCUUCACAGCUUUGCGCACACUUCACACUUCAGCUUCACCUCUUCAUGGAACCGGUUCGAAGUCUCCCCCUCUCAACUGACUUCUCAGCCAUCUUAGAGAAGCUAGGACACGACCAGAUCAUCUUCAAAACACCAGUGAGGCUGAUCAACACUUCACACACGACUUGCCCUCUCCAUAGAACUGGUUUGACUCUCCCCCUCUCAACAGACUUCACAGCCACCUUAGAGAAGCUAGGAAAUGACCAGGAACACCUUUAGUGAGGCUCAAGCAAUGGUACCUGAUACAUUAUCCCAAAGGUGCAUCAGUACCUAUCAAAAACAAGAAAAUGAAUAUCCUGCAUCACACUUGAUGCACA